UCAUAUUUAAAUUUUAAAACAUACAGACCACACCAUAUUCGUCCUCUAGUCUCCCCCUUCUUUUUCCUCCAUUGCAUCACUUUCUUGAGCAAAAACAACAAAAAAUGAAAGAAAAACAUUAUGAUACUCCCAUACAUGGCAGAAGGUCACAUAAUCCCCACCUUCUUAGCCUUGGUUAUCCAAAUUAAAAGAAAUGGUUACCACAUAACAUUUGUAAACACCCCUCUAAACAUAAAAAAUAGCAAACAAUCACUUCAUUUAAACUCUUCCAUUGGCCUUUUAGAAAUCCCCAUCAACAGCUCCAAUCGCAACCUCCGAAAAUCAAAAACACCGAUAGCAUCUCCUUUAGCCUCAAUUUAACCUUUCUCGAAGCCUCUGUUUCUCUCAAACUCGCUCGAAAUCUCAUCUCAGACCUUAUCCGUGGUAGUGCUCCGCCGCUCGUCGUCAUUGUUGAUAUAUUUUUGGGCUGAACGACAGAGGUUGCUCAAGAAUUUGGUAUUCUUCAUACAAUUUUUAGCAUUUGUGGUGAUUUUGUCUAAAUUUUUUUAACAGAAAGAACCUAAUUGAAUUACGUAUUAUAAUAUCAAGAACAUCUAAGAACUAAAAUAAAGUUUCAAGAUUAAAUGGGUUCAACGAUAAUUAUGCACCUUUACAUGGAGAAGUUAACAUGAAUAACUAUACCUUUAAUCUAUCGCAUUUUAAUCCUCAAAACUGAUAUUCUUAAUUAUUGGGGUGAGUACUAUUUUGUUUCUAAGAGAAUUUAGAACGUGGGGAAUUAAGGGUUUAAUUAUUACUCUAUACAUAUAUAUGUACGCGUUGAAAAAAAUAUAAGGCAUGUGCCAAAAAAUAAGCAGGACAUAGCAGCGUAUGCUUCUUGACCGGGCACAACGAGUUUUGAACUUGGUUCGUCACACGUCUGUUAGUUAGAAGAAAAUAAAAGAAAAGAAAGGGUCGGGUUGUCAAAGUAAAAAGGCAGUAGUAUUAUUUCCGAGUAGUCAAAAUAUGACUUGUAUUUUAGUACUACCCAUCUCUUCCACUUCUGUCCCACUACUACAACUGUUAUAUAUCCUCAUAUCCCUAAAAUAAACACAAAGCAAACGUUCACAACUCCCUCCCUCCCUCCCUCCUUAAGUAUAUAUUACAACCACCAACAUGAAGGGAAUGGUUUGCUCCAAGAGAAAUGGCAUAUAUAAUUACUAUUUGGGUCCUCUGAGUCAAGCCUAAAGUUUUUGAGACAAAAAAACCAAAGCCAAAGCCCAAAGUUUGCCCUCUUUUCUUUUCUUUUUUGAAAAAUCAUGGAGCAAAACUGUGUCAAUGGCAAUGGAGGAGGUGUGGGUGUUCAAAUCCAACUCCCAAUUGGAUUUCGAUUCCGUCCGACCGAUGAAGAGCUCCUCCUUCACUACCUCAAACCCAAAGUUUUGUCUUCUCCAUUCCCUGCCUCUGUCAUUCCUGUCCUUCCUCAUCAUAUUCUUUUCCAUUCUCAUCCCUCUCACUUGCCAGGUAUGCAUGCAUAUAUUAGAAAGAAACUUCGCAAAAUGAAUGAAAAUGUAUAUCUGAUUAAUUUAUCAAGUAAAAUUAAUUUAUGUGUCCUGUUUUGUGCAUGGUGAAGGUGAUCCGAAAGAGAGGAGGCAUUUCUUCUGCCAAAGAAAAUGGGAUUCUUAUAUGAAAAACCGCAGCAGCAGAAGAAGAAGAAUCAGAAUCACCACUUGUGAUGGUUCUGGGUACUGGAAGGCUGCUAUUGGUAAAGAAAAAACCAUUCAUAUUGUAGCUCCUGGAUUAUCAACCCCUCUUGUUGGAAUUAAGAAAUCCUUUAUUUUCUACCAUGGAAAGCCUCCCCAUGGAGUAAAGACUCCAUGGAUCAUGCAUGAAUACCGCCUUCUCCCCUCUCAAACUACUACCCAUAAUUCUACUCAUGACGAUCAGGUAGGUAUACAUAACUGCGUACGUACUAUGUCUUGAAAUUUAUAUAUUCAUGAAAUUUACAGACUUUUUAUUUAUUUGUGUAGGAAUUGGAAAAUUGGGUUGUCUGUAGCAUUUAUCAAAGGAGAAGAAAAUCCAAGAAUCAUGGGGGGAGGAGCAGCAGCAAAACUACUAGGAAUUCGGAAAAGAAGGUGAUUAAGGCCAACAGUGAAAGCGUGAUGGAUUUCAUAAUUUUGGACAGCACUGAGUUUGGCCCUCCUCCUCUGCCCCCUUCCCCAACAUGUUCAAGUGGAAUCCCUGAUAAUAUCUCUCUUAGUAAUGAAUUGUUAGAUCAGGAGGAGGCAUGCAGCAGCAACAUUAGUUUUGCUCCUCAUUUUUCUUGUUUUAGAGAAAAUUAAUCUAUAGUUCAAUACCCUCUUCUUCCAUUGUUCUGUUUGAGAGUUUAAUUUUUUAUGUUAUGCAAUAUGGGGAAAUUAAAAAAAAUAUCAAAAUGAAGUUUCUUGAUGAUGAACUCCUCUCUAGUCUCUCCUCUGUAUACCAUUUACAUUUAGUUUUGAUUGUUUCAAUCGAGUUCUCGAUUCAAGUUGUUAUUUUGUCUAAAAAUUAUUAAAGAUUGAAUGUUUCUGCAAAGUGAUUUACUAUGACAAAUGCUUCCAUACACUCCUAACUAAUAGGCUAAUAAUAGCAUAUAAAUUAGUUAAUUAAUUCGGAUAGAUGUGCAUAUUUUUUUUUUACCGAAAGAUGAAUGAUUUUUGAGAGAGAGGAAAAGAUGAUGCAAAGAUAGAUAAAAGUGAGGCAUCUAAACAAAGGAGAUGGAACUCAGAAUUUUGUGGGAAAAGAGAUUCUCCCCUGUAGAAGUAGAAGAAGAUAUGCACAUGGGGUUGGGGAUAGGUUUGGUGUGGGCAUUUGUAUCCGACUCUCUCCAUGAAAGAAGAAAGAACUAAAUUCCCCCUUUACUAAAUUGCUUCCGAAUCUUUUUGACUUUUGUAUACAGUUCAAUAUAUCUAAUAAUUGGCUGAGCCAUAAAUAUAUUUUAAAAAUGAUAAAUAAAGAAAAGAUUCCUUCAUAUAGUGUCCUAGUGCCCCCCGCCCCACUCCCUCCUUUCUUAUCCCUUGAUUUUUUAAGAGCUUAAUAAAUGAUUACUCUAUAAUCUAUAUGAAUGGCACAUUAAUAUGUCUUGUCCUAAAGAGUGGCAAAUGGCAGUGUUUGGCACAAAGAACAAGGGGCAAUUUUUCUUCUUCAAAUUUCUAGACCUGGAAUCUGGAUGUUGCAACCUCCCUCUAUUUGAGAAUGAGAUUCCUAAUGCCAGUCAAUAGAACCAUGAUGUGGGGAGACAGCCAAUACUAUAAAAAUCAACCACCCAAAAACAUUUGAAUACGGAGUAGUAGAGUACUACUAAUGUGUGUGUGUAUAUAUAUAUAUAUAUAUAUAUAUAUAUAUAAUAUUCUUCUCCAUUAUAAAACAAAUUUUGCAUCAUUUUUACCUUGCAUGCAGUAGACAUAAGCCUGAUUAUGUAUAAGUUGCAAGAACAAGGUUAAUUAAAGAAAACAAAUGGACAGAGCAUCAUAAAUACUCACAAGAGUGGAGAUAUUCUAAAAGAAGAAGGUGAUACACUAGUUAUAAAAUUGGCAGGCUGAUUGCAGUGUAAGUUGGGUGAGAGACAGAAAAAAGUGUACCACAUGCAUUGGGCAACAAACACACAGGACAACAUACAUAGAGAGUAGUAUAGUACGACCACUUGACUGGUGCAUAUAUAUAUAUAUAUAUAUAUGUUAGAGUAAAUAUAAUUAGAGUAAGUACUAGUAAUGGUCAACCUGCCAUGGGCAGGGAGACCAAGGUUGCUUGUGGCAGUGGUUUUAGAAUCAGCUAAAAAGCCUACUCCUUUAUAUUAGUAAUUCAAGAGAGGAGAGAGAAGUUAAAAUUGAUUUUGUUGUUUUGUAUAUCUGACUUGUAACACUAGGCUGCUGCUGCUGCAUGGUCCACACAGUUUUCAUAGCAUUCUUCAUUAUUGAUAAGGUGAAUCAAAUCAAGAAAAGAAAGCUAAGGAACACAAGUUGGUCAAGAAUCAGUAUUUUUAUUUUGUUAUUUUCAGAGAACCAAGGGGGUUUAAUGGCAUCUUUAGGGAUUGUUAUGAUUUGAUGGAUCAGUUUGAUCAACUGUUAUGUUGCAUUGGUCUCCUCCAAUCAAUAUUCAGUUCACAGGCUAGGGUUGCUAUUAGAAAAAAAUUAUAAACUAGUACAAUAAAUGAAAAGAAAAAUAAUUGAUGUUUCUUGAGUUUGACCAUGAAUAUGAAUUAAUUGAUCAUAAUACUAAUAAUUAGUUCCCUAAUUCUUUUCGGAUUUAAAUGAUUGCGUGCACCUAAAGCACAUCUUUCCAUAUAUCUCAAUUAUUUCUAAAUAAAUGAUCAAUAUCUGCUACAUCUACAACUCCCCGGCCCCAGCCCCACUAGGAGUUCUAUGGAGGAUGGAUGGAUGGAUGGAGUAUAUUACUUUUGCUUUUACGUAUCAUUUUUAAUAAUUUAGACUCAACUUUUCUAAGAUGAGCAUAUACGUACUGCCUAUAAAGAGCUUACAUCAUAAGCAUAAACGACCCACUUUUUUUUUUCCUUUUUGGAACAAAUGAAUUCUGUUCAAUAUAUUACACAAUGUAUUUCGAAACCGGUUAGCAUGGAGUGAACUUCAUGGUAAAUUCAUUUCAUACCUAAUAUAGUACUAACACGCACGCCUAUGUGUCAAGACUGUAUUGGACAUGAAGUGAAUUUACUUUAAAGUUUUCAUUUCAUGAAAAUAAACAAGUAGCUUCUAGGCCCAACCGUGCUAGCGACAUAAGACAACAAAAGUGGUCCAAUAGCAUCUUCUAUUGAGCAGGAGCUAAGCAUUGGCGGGCUGAAGAUGCAAAGCAAGGCCCACUUACUAAUUCUAGUCCAAUAAGAAAUAGCAACAAAAAAUUCCAAUUUAAACUUUUAUUAUAGAAAAAGUACUCAUAUCUAUUUAGUAAACUUAUUUUAAAAAAUUACAACCUAAAUAAAAAUUAUUUUUUACUAUUUCCUCAAUUAUACAAAAAAAACUUUUUUUAUUAUUAAUAAUAAUAUGUUAAAUUUUAAUAUUAUAGCUGGGGAGUGGGGCCGUCCGUCUAAUAUAUCCAAAUGCUUCAAGUUUAUAAAAAGGAGUGUGAAUUAAGCUCAACAUAAAGUGGGAUUACGUACGUACCGGUCAACAGAAAAAAGUUGAUAAAUAGAGAACCCAACCCCCAUGCAUGUUAAUUUCCCGCCAUCCAUCCAUGCAUAUUCUCUAAAUCUGUUAUGCAAUCCUUUAUAUCCUCUCGAAUUAUUUAUUUUUAUUUUUUUAAUCCUCCGUCCUCCUCCACUAUUAUUAAUUACCAACGUACGUAACUCCCCGAUCUCUCCUCUUUGAAUAAAAAAAAAAGAAAUUAAAAUGGGUAGUGGAUUUUCGAGGAUGAAUGUUUUAAUGUCAUGCGGACGUCCCUUUCAGCCCCUUGGACGUAGAAUGGACGUAAUGCGAAAAAUGGGUAGCACCGGGUUAGAUCAUGGCACCCCCUCUACCAAAAUGCUGCUCAAUAAUAACAACAAUGAUCAAGAAUUAGAUAUUUCUAAUGUCAGUACUGUUGACUCCGGCGACGGCGAUGCCCCCAGGAACGGUUUAUUAAUCGUCAUUAUUGAUUCUGCCAAAGACAAAGAGAGAGGCGGGUCGUCCACGUUGGAACCGGGGGAGGAGGAAGGUACCGGAGAUAAUAUUAUUAUUAAUAACAAUGAAGAGGAAGAGGAGGGAGGAGGGAGGAAGGAGUUCAGAUUAUGAGGGUUUAUUAUGGAUUAGGUCACCCAGUUUUAGAGAUUAUUGUGUUGAUCAUUCAGACGACGACGAUAGCCUCAAGAAUGUUAAUGGUGGUGAGUUUUAAGCUUUAACCACCUAACUACCUACCUGCUAUAUUAAAUUUAGACUUGUACGCAUACGUAACAUGAUUCCUUAAUUUGAUCAUUAUAUAUAUUUGAGUAAUUAAUUCCACGGUUAAUUAAUUUCAAAUUUUUGUAUUUUAUAUAUUUAUUCUAUUUUGAAACCAAAGCAAGGAAUUGAAUAUAUAACGAGGUAGCCAUGCAUGCAGUUACUUGAAACGAAGGGAUCAUUAAAAUAUAUACAUGAUAUGAUGAUGAUGAUUUUGAUGAAGAACACAUUAUACGUAGGUAACGAAUUUUGACUGGUGGUGCAGGUAAAAGUAAUGGAAUAAAGAAGGAGAAGCAGACACAAACAACAGAUGAUGUCGAUAUUAAUUAUGAGGUAAUAAGUUUGUAAUUUUGAAUGAACAAAUUACUCAAACUAAUUAAAUCUUCCCGUAGGUAGAUUGAUUGUUUUUAAUUGGGCUGCGCUGCAUGCAGGUUUGCAUGAUGAGGCAGGAGGGGCAAAAGACAAAGAGUAGUGUAACAUCGGUGAGUAAAGGGAGGACAGGAAAAAGAUUGAGAAAGGUGUUUUCACACAGGACAGGUGGUAUGAAAAAUCUGUUCAAAGUCAAAAAUUGCUACAACCCCAAAGUCCCCCACAGUGGCCCUGGAAAACCACCGUCCAGCUGAAGCUGAUUGAUUACUCCCUGGCCUAAAACUAAACUCACACAAUUUAAGGAUCCUUCAAUUCUUCUAUUAUUAAUUAAUUAGAGCCCUUAAUUGCUCUCUCUUUUUUCCCCUCUUUUUCUUCUUGUAAUAUACUACUCCCUCCGUCCCAAAUUAAUUGCUCAGUUUUGACUUUUUAAAGUCAAAUUGACUAUUUUUAGAAUUAAUAAUUAAGCAUAUAUAAAUAUAUUUCUAAAAUUAUAAAAAUUGAGGUUAGUAAUAAAUUGUAUAUACUUUCUUUUGGUUAUAAUCUCUUCACCUAUAUUUUAGCAAAAAUAGUUUUAAAAAUGGUCAAUUUGACUUUAAAAAGUCAAAAUUGAGCAAUUAAUUUGGGACGGAGGGAGUACUAUAUAUAGUUGAUAACUUGAUAAUUAACCCAGAAAUAUCGCAUAACUGAGUCUUUAAAGACUCACUCAUGCAUGCGAUCCAAUCCUGGGAAAUUAAUCUUGUCCAGUAAAUGUUAAUCCUUCUAUUUAACAUGUAAUUUUGUUUUAAUUGUACAUGUCAAGCUCUACAAAAGCGCUAUUGCUGAAAAAAUGGGUUUCAAUUGUUUGAACAUGAGAAUUUUAGUUUGCUUCAUGCCACACAUAACAUAGUACUAAUUCAGAUACAUGUAAAGGUAUAAAUAUUUUUACAUAAAAUGAAGGAUAAUUUAGUAGAUCCAUUGGAAUAUAUAUAAGUAUUCAAAUUUUGAAACUUUUUUAUUAUUUUUUCUCUACUUUUAAUCUCCUUAAUAUGCGUGUAAUUUUACUUUGCUCGUAUUUGUAGGGAGAGCUCAGGAGUAAUUUCUAAUAUUCUAUUUUGGUAUAUUAAUUUGUACUAAAUUAAUAUAUAUUAUUUAAACAAUUUACAUUUUUGUGAUAUUUCAAAGUUACAAAUUAAGGAGAAAAAAUAAUACCACAUUCACAUCCAUACACAUGCAUGUUAUUUGAAGAAUAAAAAGAUAUUUCCAUAAAAUAAAUAAUCCUGACCGAUACUUAAUACUAGUAUAUUAUUUCGUCAAAUUUGACAAAUUAAGUAAAUUAAUACUAAUACAGAAGUUUUGAUGUAUAUAUUGGCCAUAACAGGAACAGGAACAGGAACAGGAACAGGCACAGGCGCAGGCGCAGGCGGUCAAAUAAAAUGAUGCAAUGCAUGUCGCAGCCUUAAAUCUGAAAACACGCUCGCGCGCGCGCUUUCCUUUUCUCCCCAAAUUCUGACCUUUGACCCUUCAAUUCCUAAUUCCUACAACAAUACUGAAUGUGCCCGCAAAUAUUGUUCCCUAAGCGGAAAGGGCUCCUACAACAAUACUGAAUGUGCCCGCAAAUAUUGUUCCCUAAGCGGAAAGGGCUACUAUAGAGGUCAUAUUAAAAUACUAAUGAUGCCCGCAAUACUGAUCGUUAAGUGGAAAUGACUACUUAAUCAAAUUAGAUAGAGGUAAGAUUAUAUUAAAAUAUUAAUAGGUACAAAUACCUACCUAGAAGUCAUAUGUCAGAUUAAAAUACUAUUUAGUAUCGAAUAAGCGAAAAGGACUACCUAGACUACUUAGAUGCCAUAGGCGACUACCUAGAAGAGAGGUCAGCUAAGCAGAAAAGACUAUCUAAAUGUCAAAGGUCGACUAAAUGAAAAGGGCUAUCUAGAACCUAGAGGCAGAAAUAUUGAUAGAUACUUAGAGAGUCUGAGACCAAAUAAAAAUAUUGAUAAAUAAUUGUUCGACUAAGACUAAGCAAAAAGGAUUAGGCUACCUAAAGGAUGUGUAAAGGGCAUCGGUGGAUAUUGGGUGUCGCUAAAGCAUCGGAUAUCGCUUUAAUGAAGUCGUGAACAUUGUGGAUCUUAUAUUGGUUUUUUGUUUUUAUAAAAUUUAAAAUGUAUUAAAAUAGAAUUGAGAAUUACAGUCUCAUGGGAUACCUCAAUCAUGAUAUAACAUAGACAUCAUAUCGGAUUGAUAUAGACUUUGGACUCAUUGAAUAAAUAGAUUUCUAGAAAAAUUGAGGCUUAUGGUAACAUCUUUUUUCUCUUUCUUUGGGAACAUAAAACAGACUUGUCGUUUCUCUUUCCAUAACUAUAUAUAUAUAUAUAUAUAUAUAUAUAUAUAUAGAGGACGGAUCUAAAACAUAUCUAUUAAAUAAUAUAUAUUUAUUAAAAUUACGUCAUUUAUUUUGGAGAUUAUUUUUAAAAAUAAAUGGGGCCGUGAGUAGUAUUUUUAUAAAAAAAAGAAAUUAAGUAAGACUCUUCUCUAUUAAUAUUAUUUUAUUUUUUAAAAAAAAACUUUAAAACUAUGCGGUUUUAAUAAAUGUAAUAAAUUUAUGAUUAUAUUAUUUAAGAUUAUGUUUUAGAUUCGUUUUGUAUAUAUUCACACACAUAGUUACAGUAUUUGUUGUUUUUGAUUAAUUUGAAAUGAAAUCGUCUCUGCAAAAGCUGAGAAAGCUUGCACGGCACAAGAGCGAUGCCAAGGAGAAGAAGGAUAAUCAAUCUUUGGCGCAAUUGGAUGAGCUUGCUCAAGCUUCGCAGGUAUAUGCUUUUAUGCUGUUAUAUAGUUAUUUUUUAUGUGCGAAUACUAAAUAUCUACUCCGAAUUUAGCAUAAAAAGAAGUUUUUGGGAUUAGGGUUUUGAUUGUAUGCUUAUGGAAUGAAGAAUACAGCACUAUGUGCCUUAUCUUCGUAGUGUAGCUAAAUUUUAAGGGUUAACUGAGUUGACAAUAAAUUAACUGCAAAUAAUUUGUUAGCAAUGUUGCUGGGUGCCUCGGUUAGUCUAAGUGAAUUGAUAAGUGGCUCUGACUCUUUAAUUUUAGGGAUACGAUGUCAUAAUGCACAUACAACCGUUUUCUUGACCAUGCGUAGAGGUUUUAUUCUUGAAAAAGGUGUAGGACACGAUUUUACUUAAUCAAUUGGUCAACAUUACUAGAAAUGAAUCUUUCAACUACUUCAUCCCCAUUCUUGUACUGACAUUCAUUGAAUUCUAAUCACCGUUCACAUAAUCUAAGCUACCAUAUCAUCUGCCCAAACUUGGGGUUGUAAUCAAUAUAACUUAAGUCACUACAUUGCUGCCAAACUACUGUAUAUCUUAUUGUUCAUCAGAGAGGAAGUAUUAUUGUUCAGCAGAGAGGAAGUAUUAUUGUAAUUGUUAUCUGUAAUAUAUAGUAUUAUUUAAUAUAUAUAUAUAUAUAAUAAAACAGAACAUAAAUUUAUAUAUAUAUAACACAGAAAAUAUUAAUAAAUAAAUCCGAGUCCUUUGAAUUCACAAAGUCUCUUUAAAUCAAAUUUAUUCCCUCACAGGUGCUAAGGAUUAAUUGAAUAAUUGCUUCCCAAGAUAAAACGAAUUUACAAUUCUUAAUUAGUAGCACUACAAAAUUAAGAAUUCAGUGAACGCAAAUUCUAUGUUAUAUACUCGAACUUUACUUUUAAUAAUAAUGAUGCAUGAAAAUGGUGCAUGAAUACACUUGCUCAAAAAUAGGAAACGGGAAAAUAUUUGAAGGAACGGCGGAAUCUGCAGAAACGGGAUUUUGCAGAACACAGAACGGAACUCUGUUUAAGACUGUGGAAUGGGAUUCAUUCUGCAGAAACGAGAUUUUUGCAGAAGGGAAGGAACGAGAUUUUUCAUAAGGGAAGGAACGGAACGGGACGCAGAAACAGAACGGUGUAAUCAAACUUAUGCCUGAAAAUGUAAUCCCACAUAGUUUAUUUAUAGAAUAAUUAGGCAGUUUAUUACCGUUAGGACGCGUCAACCGCCCACGACCCACGAACCCGACUCCGACCCGGCCCGUCAAUUUUCUCAUUCAAUUAUUAAUGGAUUUGAACACAUAAAUAUAUAUUUUAUCAAACCCAUUUUCAACAAUCCCCCACAUGAAUGUAAAAUUGACUUUACAAUAUGUAAAAUAUGUUAUGAAUAUGCAGACACUAGUUUGAGUACAUGAGAAAAGAUAUUUCAUCAGGUUAAGUAGCCUAGUGGCUUUGAACUUACCCUAGUAAAAUCUAUCGGAUUUACUUAGCUAAUCAGUAGACUUGAUGUAUUUGAACUGUCAACUUUUCGUGUAAACCAAGACAAUAGAAUUCACAAAAUAUCUCUUCAGACAUAGUUGGUUCUCACGUUUGUGUUCAUUUUGGCCUUGAAACACCUCUUGGUUCCGUGAGUAUAUUAGAGAAUUUAGCCUUCAAAAUUAUCACAGAAGUGGCCCCCUUCUUACUCACGUAGGUGACUUCUAUCAAGAGUAUCCUGCAAUACUCCACUUGAACCUAUUUCAAGAUAUAAAAGUCAUUAAAAGCGUAAUUUAUCCUAAUUCUCGCGGCAGAUGUGCACUAUCUCAUUUCAGGAAUGGUUAGGAGUAAAUAUCUCCUCGGUGCUUUACUGAGUACUACAUAGUUCGGUUUGCCCAUUGAACCUAGAUCUUGGGAUCUCCAGUCAGCUAGGUUGGGUUGCCACUAUGACGACUCUUAUUUAAACAGUAGGCUUUAAACCCAUUCCCCUUGAUGAUUUUUUCACUUGCUUUCUUGUUAAACCUUUUGUAAGCGGAUCCGCAAUAUUAUCUUUUGACUUUACAUAGUCAAUUGAGAUAAUUCCAUUUGAGAGCAAUUGUCUAACGGUAUUAUGUCUACGUCGUAUAUGGCGUGACUUACCGUUAUAUAAAUGACUCUGUGCUCUUCCAAUCGCUGAUUGGCUAUCACAGUGUAUACAUAUAGCUGACACAUGUCUUGACCAAUUUGGAAUAUCCUCUAAGAAAUUACGAAACCACUCAGCUUCUUCAGCUUUGUCUAACGCAAUGAAUUCUGAUUCCAUUGUAGACCUUGCAAUACACGUUUGUUUUGAGGAUUUCCAAGAUACCGCAGCACCUCCAAGGGUAAAGACAUAUCCACUUGUAGAUUUCGAGUCUUUAUUAUCAGAUAUCUAAUUAGCAUCACUAUAUCCUUCCAAUAAUGCUGGAUAUCUUGUAUAGUGCAGUCCAUAUUUUUGAAUAUGUUUUAAAUAUCCUAAAACUCUCAAAAUUGCUUUCCAGUGAUCUUUACCUGGAUUACUCGUAUACCUACUUAGCUUACUUACCGAAUAAGCUAUAUCUGGUCUAGUACAGUUCAUGACAUACAUUAAACUGCCUAUUAUACGAGAAUAUUCUAGUUGAGAUAUGCUAUCACCUUCAUUUUUAGCUAGAUGAAGAUUUAUAUCAACUGGGGUCUUAUUUAGAAUUAUAUUAUACUUGUUAAAAUUUUCAAGUAUUUUCUCAAUGUAAUGAGAUUGAGAUAAUAUAAUUCCAUCAGAGGUUCUAGAAAUCUUGAUUCCUAAAAUUAUAUCAGCAACCCCCAAGUCUUUCAUAUCAAAUCUAUUUGACAACAUACGUUUUGUUGAGUUGAUAACUUCAUUGUUGCUACCCAUGAUUAACAUAUCAUCCACAUAAAGACAAACAAUGACAUAUUCCUUUUGAGUGCUUUUGACAUAAACACAUUUGUCACACUCAUUAAUUUUAAAUCCAUUUGAUAACAUAACAUUAUCAAAUUUCUCAUGCCAUUGUUUUGGUGCUUGUUUUAAUCCAUACAAGGAUUUAACAAGUUUGCAUACUUUCCUCUCUUGUCCAGGAGCAAUGAAACCUUCAGGUUGUUCCAUAUAUAUUUCUUCAUCUAAUUCACCAUUUAAGAAUGCAGUCUUUACAUCCAUUUGAUGUAUUUCAAGUCUAUUUAAAGAUGCUAUUGCUAUUAGCAUUCGAAUAGAUGUAAUUCUUGUAACAGGUGAAUAAGUGUCGAAAUAAUCCAAUCCUUCCUUUUGUCUAUAGCCUUUAACAACAAGCCUUGCUUUAUAUUUAUCAAUUGAGCCAUCAGCUUUCAUCUUCUUUUUGAAGAUCCAUUUAUACCCUAAGGGUUUUGAACCAGGUGGAAGGUCCACCAAUUCCCAUGUAUGAUUUUGCAUAAUGGACUCAAUUUCGCUAUUUAUUGCUUCUUUCCAAUGAGAAGCAUCUGGAGAGGAUAUUGCUUCCUUGUACGUUCGAGGAUCGUUUUCUAACAAAAAUGUUAGAAAAUCCGGACCAAAAGACGUUGAAGUCCUUGCCCUUUUGCUACGUCUAGGUUCAUCCAAUACAGACUUUUUGUCUAUAUUUUCAGGAUUAUUACUAGUAGCAUCCAAAGGUCUUUUGUUUGAAUUUGAAUCUUUAUUUUCAUUAUAUGGAAAAAUAUUCUCAAAGAAUGAUGCGUCUCUUGAUUCAAUAAAUGUAUUAACAUGAAUAUCAUUAAUUUCAGAUUUAUGAACAAGAAAGCGAUAAACACUGCUAUUAUUUGCAUAACCAAUGAAUAUACAAUCAAUUGUUUUUGGUCCUAUCUUAACCUUUUUAGGUUUAGGAACCAUUACCUUUGCUAGACAUUCCCACACUCUUAAGUAUUUAUAGCAAGGUCUAUGACCUUUCCAUAAUUCAUAAGGUGUUUUAUGAGUUUUCUUAUGAGACACUUUGUUAAGAAUAUAAUCGGCAGAAAGCAAAGCUUCCCCCCACAAAUUCUGGGGUGCUCCAGAACUGUUUAACAUAGUAUUCAACAUUUCUUUCAAUGUUCGGUUAUUGCGUUCAGCAAUACCGUUAGAUUGAGGUGAAUAAGGAGCAGUAGUUUGGUGAAUAAUACCAUGAGUAGAGCAAAUCUCUUCAAAUGGUGAUUCAUAUUCACCACCUCUAUCGCUUCUUAUUGCUUUAAUCUUUUUGUUCAGUUGAUUUUCAAAUUCAUUUUUAUAAAGUUGAAACAUUUUUAUUGCCGCAUCUUUGCUUCUUAGCAAAUAUACAUAACAAUAUCUUGUGCAAUCAUCAAUAAAGGUAAUAAAAUAUUUUUUUCCCACCUCUUGUUUGCACAAACUUUAAGUCACAUAUAUCAGUGUGAAUUAAAUCUAGAGGUUCAGUUUUCCUUUCAACAGAAUGAAAGGGUAAUCUUAUCAUUUUUGAUUCCACACAAAUUUCACAUUUAUGUUUUUGAUUAAUAUCAAAUUUAGGCAGGAAUUCUAAAUUAAUUAAUCUACGCAAUGUAUUAUAAUUAACACGUCCUAAUCUAGCAUGUCAUUCCUACAAACAUAUCAUUUUUAGUAAGUACAUGUAGAUAUAAUAACAUAAACAAAUUACCUGUGAUAUUGCUGCAGCAGCACCACCCAUUUUUUAUUUAUUUAUUGUAUUGAGUUUUGGUUAAUUUCUAAUCUAUUUAUAGAUUAGGCCGUACCCCAACACGUAUCUUAAUUAAUUGGUCGUAUCCCAAUUAUGGGAUAUGCCGUAUCCCAAUUUUUGGAACGUAUCCCAAUUCCAACCGAUUCUAAUUUUUGAAAACUUUUGGCCCAACUCAAUUUUGGCUCCCAAAUUCCAAUCGAUUCUAAUAUUAGCGUAUUUUUGGCCCAACUCAAUUUUGGCUCCCAAAUUCCAAUACCCGUUAAUAUUACCGUUGGAAACUAGCAAAUAUUACCGUUGGCUCCCAACUUCCAAUAACUGAUAUUACGGUUGAUUUUCAAAUAAAAUUUUAUUAAAAUAUAUAUAUAAAAAUGUUGUUAGCAUUACUUAAACCCAAGUCCUUAAUAUCAACACUUCUCUUUUAUCUAACUGAACCAAUAUUAAUUAUUGAUUAUAUGGAUGACAUAUAAUAUAUUUAUUAUAUACUUUUAGAUAAUGAAAAUAUCUAACACCAAGCAUAACUUAGAUCCAUCAAAGGAUAACCCACGUGAUAAGCAAAAAUCACGCCUACCCACGCGAAUCCGAUAAAAAAAAAAACAGUUUCGCAAAUAUUAUAUAAUCAGAAUAUAUAUAAACAGAAUAAAUAUUCUAUUUGAUAAACAGGCUCAAAUAUAUAUAAUCAGAAUAUUAUAUAUAUACUAAUAUGCAAACAUAAUAUUAUGUAUGUUAAUAAUAACAUGCAUAUUCGGAGUGCUCUUUUUUAAAGUAAUCAGCGGAUUCUAAGUUGAAUGAUUAGUGGUAGAAAUUGAACACCAACACGCCACCAAUUAUCAAAGUUUGUAAAUGCAAUCAUGCCCCAACUUUUUGUAAACAACUACUAUGGUAAUUUAUUACAAUAAUUAAUAAUAAAACAAUUGCAUAUACCUGAACUAGGAACAUGCAGAAUUAGGAACAUGCAUGUAUUAACAAGGUAUAAUAAUACUAAGUUGGACAGGUUUUUUCAAUUUUCUGUUUAAAUAUUUAAACAGAAUUAACAUGUAAUAUAUUAUCAAUAUUUACAGAUAACAUGUAAAUAUUUAAAUAGAAUAUUAAUAAACAGAAUAUUAUAAUUUUUAAAUGAUAUUUAAAUAACAGAAUAUAUUAUAUGCAACAAAUAUUCUGACCGAACGAAAAAUUAAAGCAUUAAACAUAUUUUUCAAACAAGAAAAUAUAUUACCCAAUAUUAAUAACAAGUGUUGUUCUUAAUAUGAAAAUAAUGAUAAUAUAUAAAAGUCAUCUACGUGAUACUCUUGCAGGAUAUUAACAAAUGAUUGAAACUUUGAGUUCAAUUCUUAAAAGAAUUCAAAUUUUUUCUAAGGAAUUAAAAUCAAACUGCACAGGAACUUGAGAAAAUUUAUAAUACUAUGUAAUUCUAUUUUUGUUUUAAUUACUUUAUACACAGAAUAAUUGUAGUACAGAAAAACAAAACGAUUUUCUGGUUUACAUAAAUAAACAGAUAGAAUUACACUACAAUUACAGAAUAUAUAUAUAAAAAAUAUAUAUAUAUAUUAACAGAAUAUAUAUAAACAGAAUAUUAUAUAUAUAUGCACAUAUAUAUAGAAUAUAUAUAUAUAAACAGAAUAUUAUAUAUAUAUAAACAGAAUAUUUUGUUAUGCAAUAUAUUAAUAUAUUAUAUUCUGUUAUAUUAACAUGCAAAUAAUCACAGAAUAUUCUGUAUAUUAAAUAACACUAUAAUUACAUAAAAAUAAAUUUGCUUUAAGAUUGUUAUCUGUAAUAUAUAGUAUUAUUUAAUAUAUAUAUAUAUAUAUAUAUAUAAUAAAACAGAACAUAAAUUUAUAUAUAUAUAACACAGAAAAUAUUAAUAAAUAAAUCCGAGUCCUUUGAAUUCACAAAGUCUCCUUAAAGCAAAUUUAUUCCCUCACAGGUGUUAAGGAUUAAUUGAAUAAUUGCUUCCCAAGAUAAAACGGAUUUACAAUUCUUAAUUAGUAGCACUACAAAAUUAAGAAUUCAGUGAACGCAAAUUCUAUGUUAUAUACUCGAACUUUACUUUUAAUAAUAAUGAUGCAUGAAAAUGGUGCAUGAAUACACUUACUCAAAAAUAGGAAACGGGAAAAUAUUUGCAGAACGAUGGGAAGGAACGGCGGAAUCUGUAGAAACGGGAUUUUGCAGAACACAGAACGGAACUCUGUUUAAGACUGUGGAACGGGAUUCAUUCUGCAGAAACGAGAUUUUUGCAGAAGGGAAGGAACGAGAUUUUUCAGAAGGGAAGGAACGGAACGGGACGCAGAAACAGAACGGUGUAAUCAAACUUAUGCCUGAAAAUGUAAUCCCACGUAGUUUAUUUAUAGAAUAAUUAGGCAGUUUAUUACCGUUAGGACGCGUCAACCGCCCACGACCCACGAACCCGACUCCGACCCGGCCCGUCAAUUUUCUCAUUCAAUUAUUAAUGGAUUUAAACACAUAAAUAUAUAUUUUAUCAAACCCAUUUUCAACAUGUUCAACAUAGAGGAAGUUGGGACCAAGAGGGUAAUGUUAAGCUUCUUAUGCUGUGCGUACUGUCUUCAGAACACCACAAUUGUUUUGCCAUUAUAAAAGAUGAGAAGAAAAUUCCCUAUAUAGCACAGUUUAGUAAUGUAUUCCCUAUUUUUGACAUUUUCUUAAUUAAAUUAUGUUCCUGAGAUGAAUGUUGGGUACCUCAUGCCGCACCAUGUUGGCAAAGAAAAAGGCAGCAAGGAAGUCGAAGUUGCAGGCUUACAACACUGCACAGAGUGCAAGGAGAGAAGGAGGGACAUUGAAAUUCACUAUUGGUAAUUAUUCAAGACACGUGGAGAAGGGAAUCUUUAGUGAAGUUCGAUUUCAAAGAACUUGUGAAAGUAGAAUGAGUGCUCAUAAUAACAUCCAAUUGCAGGGAACCGACCCUUAAAUCUGAAUCUCAACUCAAAGUUCAUCAAAAGACAACCCAACCCAAAAUAUCGUCAUUUUCUCAAAAUUCAUUUUUUUAGGAAGUAUAUAAAACAAAGGUAAAGGAAAAAGAACUAGAAACAGAAAAAGCGAUUUUCUGGUUGCAACCAAAUGCAUUUUUCUGUUGAUAAGUAAUCUAGUUGCAUAUUUUUUGCUCCAAAUUCUAUUUGUUGAGGAAUACAUAACUAAGAAACAACAAAGAAAGGAAGAAAGAAUAUUUUGUAGCUCAGUUUACACUUUACAUUACUAAGUAAAUAUCUUGUUUAGAUCAGUGUUGCCUUUUUAGGUUCAUUGUGAACAAAUUCAACAUCAACCAUGUUUCUUUAUUUUUAUUCAUUUUCAAAAUGUCAUUUGAGUUGCCAACCAUGCAGUAAAGAAACUGUUAUAUCGGGAACAAUUAUUGGAAUGCAUCAAGGCAAAUGUUGACUUCCCCCGGGCACUUGAAAAGAAGCAUUUAUUGUGUUUGGAAAGUGUUUCAUUGGAACUUGUGUACAUACAUCUAAUAUAGUUAAUUUAUGAAAGUGUCGUAAUGUCGUUACAUGAAUAUGUUAGAAUUAUUGAUGUUGUACACUAAAUUCUAUUAGUAAACUUAGGUGUUGUUUGUUUACAUCUGAUUGAUUCUUAAUGGACUGUCUCUUAUUCGCUAAGAGACAUGAUGCUGUUUGUUUUGUUUUUUGUUACCUCUGAAUAUCUCUUAAUCAGACAGAAAAUGAAAUCUUAAUACUUAAGAGGUAUCUCUUAAUGAAAUUUUUUGGAUAAUUUUUUUUAUAUAAAUAUAUUCAACAAUAUUAUGCACUCAUUUUUAUUAAAUUGAAUAUUUAAAAUUAUUAAAUAAAAUUUUACCCUUUAAAAUGCUAAAAUAGUGUCAUUAAGAGACAACUUACUUUUUUGUUAUCAAACAAUUUUUUAGAUUCAGACCUUAUAACCAUUCAGAUAAGACAUCAUAAUCAUUCAGAUCUUAAUUCCCAAGUUUAUCAAACACAACCUUAAUUCUAUUAAUAAAAGUUCCAUAACAAAAUGUUGUAAGAGUAAAACUGUAAAAGCUUAACAUCAUCAGGACUGAAAUUUAAAAUGGGGAAUGGUAUUAUAAAUGAGUGUUCAUUUAACAAAAAUCCAAAAACUAAAGUAAAUAAGCAAUAACAUUUACAGAGCACAAACAUUAUGUGCAUUGUUUACUUAUGACUUAUAAACUUGUAGCUUUAUUUGCCUAAUUGUGUUAUGAAAUCAUGUAGUUAGGUUUUUUCAUAUGCGUUAAGAGGAUUCUAAAUUUCUAACUAUUAAGCAGCCUCUCUUAUGAAAACUCGUAAGUUGUGUGCUGUGGGUUCUAGUCACCAUACAUUCUUCAAGUGCUGAUUACAGUAUAUUUGUUUUCCAUUUUGGCAGGAUAUGCAAGAUAUGAGAAGGUGCUAUGACAGCUUUCUAUCUGCAGCUGCUGCAACAGCCAAUAGUGCAUAUGGUACACUAAUAUCCUAUUUUCUUGCGUUUGUGCAUUUGUCUCUUUUUUGGAUACAUACCAAUACGAGUUUUUGUUUAUUCUCAACUUAGACUUGAUUGGAUGGGUAUAUGUCUAGUUAUGAUUUAAUAACCUAUUUAAAUACCACUUUUAAAUAGUCUAUCUUUAUACAAGGAUGCAUUAAAGUAAUUUCUAUAUUUGUAUGUCAGAAUUUUCAGAGUCACUACAGGAAAUGGGGACAUGUUUACUGGAGAAAACUGCAUCCAGUGCUUAUGGAGAAAGUGGUGAGAAAACAAACUUUGUCUUCUUGAAAGUUAGAGUUAUCUUUGUUUAGGGAAAAUAAUAUUGUAGUGGCACUAACAUACUUGUGUGAUAUAGAUGUGGCUCAAAUAUAGAGUCGGUAUAGAUUUUCUACAUUUUGACUAAUUGGACUGUCACUUGUGCUGAUAAUAGGAUUUUUUUUCUUCUAAUGUUUUUAAUAUAUAUAUAUAUAUAUAUAUAUAUAUAUUUUAAUUAUGAAGCUAUGCUUCUGUUUGAGAGAUGUUCUAAAUUUUGGCUCCAAACUUUAGUAUUAUUUCAUCAUGUCCCCUAAAACUUUAAACUAAUUUCCCGUAUAAUCUCAGUUGGGGUGUGACCCCUGACUCACCCUUGUGUAUAUCUUGCCUGGGUACUGGUCAAUUUAGUAAUUUCAGAAGAUGGCCCAUGAAGAUUGGUGAAACAGGAGUGCAUUGAGGUGUUUGGAUUGUCGUUUAUCAACUUCACUCACAAACCUGCUGUCUGGGCUCCAAAUACAUUUUUGAUUCCCAGAAUAAUACAGAAAAUUUUAAAACUACUUGUGAGCUUUAAGAAAAUUCAGAAUUCUAGAAUAACUUUAAGAACUUCAAACAACAUUAACUUUAGAGGAAUUCAGAAUUCAAUCUAGAAGUUUCUACGCUGUUGCAUCACUUGGUCCCUUUGAUUACAUAAAACACAAUCAGUAGCAGCAACCACCUUCUUCCUUUCCUUUUUCCUCUUUUAUUUUUUGUUUGAUUAUAGUGAAUAUUGUAUUAAGAACAAGUAUAAAAAUUUUGUUGGUUAUCAAAUUUUUUUAAACCCUUCUCUUUUAGGCCUUUUGACUUGCUGUAAAUUUACAUAACUAUGUGAGCUUAACAGUGAUUAAUGUUCAUAUCUGUGCAGGAAGAGUAUUACUGGUGCUGGGAAAAGUGCAGUUAGAACUUCAGAAACUUGUUGAUAGUUAUGUGAGUGCUUAGUGACAUGUUGUAGCUACAUCAAACUUUGUGAUUCAGCACUACAUUGACUCUAACCUGGUAAUGACUUAUUGUUCUCUGAAUGUCAGCGCUCUCAUAUAAUUCAUACAAUUACAAACCCUUCAGAGUCUCUUCUCAGCGAGCUUCGGAAAGUUGAGGUUUGUAUUUAAUGCAUCAUUUUUAUUUGUUUAUCAUUUAUAUUUUAAGGCAAGCUUGACCUGGGUAUGAGUAUUGAAACCGCCAACCUUGAGGUUGUUCCUCAAGCAAGGGACGUUGUUAUGAUGGAAUUGCCUGUCCAAAUUAUAGUUAGUGAGCUUUCUCUGUUUGACUGGUGCAGGAGAUGAAACUACAGUGUGAUGCAAAAAGGUAUAAAUGGUUCUGUUCUAGUUUAAACUUUUCUGUCAUUGGGAUGCAUCUUUAUAGAUUGUCUGCAUGAUCUUCAGAGAGGUAUAUGAACACAUGCUGGCACAAUAUAGAGAUAAAGGAAGGUUGAGAAGUGGAAAAAAUGAAAAUAUUACUUCUCAGCAAGUAAAAGAAGCUCGCAAUGAAUGUGAUGAUGUGGCGAGACUAUGUGUUUUUUGGGUGAAAUCACUGAAGCAAGGGCAAUGCCGCAGUCUUUUAACACAGGCAGCUCGUCAUCAUGCAGCACAGGUGUCCGUUACAUCUGGCAUGAAUUAAAUACUUAAAUGUCAUAGAAUCUGUCCUUGGAGUUUUGAUAAUUAUUUUAUUUUAUUUUCCCCUUCUACCUGAAAACAGUUGAAUUUCUUUCGGAAGGGACUUAAAUCUCUUGAGGGAGUUGACCCCCAAAUAAAACUAGCUUCUGAAAACCAACACAUUGACUACCAAUUCGUCGGACUAGAUGAUGGAGAAGAUGGAGAGGGUGAAUCUAUGAACAGCUAUGGGAAUAACAAUGAUGAUGGGGAAUCGAGUUUUGAUUAUAGACAAAAUAAGCUGAGCUUUGAUAAUGAUUGCACAUCAAGGAUUUCUAUGGAGGUAUUAUGUUUGCUUUUAACGGUAGUGUGGCCAAAACUUAGCCUAAUUCCGAGCCUUACUUUAUGCAUUGAAUGAAUUAUUGCGUUAUAUUAUUAUUAGGUAAAAGUACACAUCAUGUCUAUUGGAUUGGCCAGGUACCAGAUUAGUGAAGUUAGGUUUGUUAAGAUUGCUAGUCUUGUGUUGUCCUAUGCUAUCAUUUUUCUCCAUAGGUAAUAAGAUAAUAAACUAGCUUACUUUCAGACCAACUCAGUGUUGGUGUAUUUGGGAACUACCGUAGUAGAAUAAUUCAUGAGUGCUCCCAAAAGAAUCUCUAAGCAUUCGUUUUAUUUAAUGAAAUAGAAAUUUUAAGUGUAGUUUAAGUGGUGUUUAUGGUAGAAAAACUGUUGUUGAUAGAAUAAAAGGCACCUUCACAAGAAAAACUCACCAACUUCACUUGUAACUGGCAUGAGUAAGGUCUAACUUUUAGCAGAAAUGAAUUAUAGCUCUACCAACAAUCUAUACUAUAAGUGAGAAAAUAAACCCAAGCAUGGAUGGUAGACAACUGAAAUGCUUAGUGGGUCUUGUUACCCUUGCUAGACCUGCUCCUGAUUCAUAUUCCUACAUUGGAGAAGAGCUGUUGUUUUCCUUGUUUCUUUUCACCUACUGGAUGUUUGAAACUUCGAAUAAUCUUUUCCAUUUUUUCUUAUUCUUCCUUCUUUCUUACACAUUCGUAUCAAAGGGUGGAUAUGAGGUGAGUCCAUGACAUCCUUCUAUGGUUGUUUGCCGAGACCUCCAUUCUGAGAAGCUUAAGCCUUCUAAUGUUUGAUUAACUGACACACACACACACACACACACACACACACACACACACACACACACAUAUAUAUAUAUGGAAAAUUUUUAAAGGGCCAGAGGGUUGGGGGGCUCCUGUGACCCCGUGCUAAAUCCCUGACAGUUUGUAACUCAUGGUUUGAGUAAAGAAUAACCAAAUACCCGACUGUCUAGGCACAAUAUUUCCUUAUUUGCACCUUUGGUCAUAGAUGGAACAGAUCUGGUGAUGAUAUACAUAGCAGGUAUUGUUCUGUUCUGUACAUCUCACUCGAUCAAUAUAUAUGUAGCUAAUUUUAUGUAUGAUGUGUGAAUACUGCAGUUGGACCAGUUUGAUGUUCUGUAUCCUCAUGCUUUGAAAUUGGAAGAAAAAGAGGUAAAGAGACUUCAGCAUCCCUUUUGUCUAGUGUACGGAACACCUUUUUUUUUUGGCCCUAUUUAGAUUGAGCAAGUAAUCCACUCCACUUUCCUUGAAAUAAUUGCUGUAAUAAAAAUACAAAAUCCUGGAUUUGUCAAACUGUAGGCAUUAUGUUAUCAACUGUGUGGAAAUUGGUCAUGGGAAUUUAUAUAUGCUUUCACAUCUCUCUCCUCGCAUACAAGGCCCACUAGCGCAUGCAAUCAGACAUGAAACCAAGACCUAGAAUUAGAUCUGUGAUACAUGUUACUCACUUAGAGGCUCCAAAAGCUUAAGAUAUUAGAGAAUUUACCCAACCAAAUCUUUUUCUUGAGCAACUUCUGGAAUGGGUAGUAUAGUGGUGAACCUAGUCAAUUUUUCCUGGCUUUUUCAUUGUCAAUUCUACUCGGGACAAAAAAAGAAAUAAAAAAUCAACUGUUCUGUGCCUCUCAUUUACCAUCUCAUCUCCAUAUCUGCAGAUAACCAUUAGCAAAAAUAAAGGGGCGCAGGCUUUCAGUGGGCGACCUCGACCGAGCAGCCAUUCUGCCCCAAUAUAUCCAGAUAACUUUGAUCCAGCUGAAAGGGGUGGGGAAGUGCAACCAUCCAUAUGGAAGUUUCACACAUAUGUGCUGCCUACUCCAGCUACUGCAAAAAUUUCAGCUUCAAGCGCCACUGGCUCUGGUUCUCAGUCAAGUUCUACAAGCCUCAGCACAAGCACCCCAAAUCUGCCGCAUUCUUCCCCACUUCGCCCUGAAAAGCGUGAGAACAGUAGCAAUUCCUCCAUCCCGCUGCCCCCUCCUGAGGGACAUUCAAUCUCGCAGUUUGAUAUGCAUUGUGCAUUUGAUCUUAACAAAAAUAAAAGACAAGCCUUUUCUGGUCCUAUUCCAAGUAAACCCUGGUCAACCAAGCCUAUGUUAUCUACCAGCGGUAUCAUCACCUCCAGAGAACUUCCCCAGCUAGAAGUUUCUCGUUCGCUUUCUCGAGUUCGAGUUUCUCAGCCUUCUUCAUCUCCAAAUGUAUCCCAUAGUGUUUCACCUCCCCUUGUAUCUUCGCCUAGAAUACCUGAGCUUCAUGAGCUCCCUAGGCCCCCAGGCAGUUUAGCCUCCAAGCCAGGAAAUUCUUCAGUGAUUGGGCAUUCUGCUCCAUUGGUAAUCAGAAAUAAGGAGCAUUCUUCUCCUACUAACAGAAGUCCUGGGCUUGCAUCAAUUGUAGCAUCUCCGCUUCCAGCUCCUCCAGUAACUGUUCCUCGGAGUUUCUCCAUACCCUCUAGCAGUCAGACAGCGAAGGCAUUAAGUGUGGUCAAGCUAUUAGAACCUUCUCAAAUUCAAGAUAAGGUUGAAAAAGUAACUUCUCCUCCUCUGAUGCCUAUUUCCCUUUCAAACAUGAAGUCAUUAUCAACUGUUUCUGAAUUAGCCUCCAAUCCUGGGUUGAUCAGAGGUAAUUAAGUACCCGAAUGGUCGUUUUUUGUUGCUAGUAUAUUUUAAAAUGGUGAAAGUUCCCAAUUCCUUAAUUACCUUAAAAUGCCCUUAAUAUUCCUUUUGUUCUUGCUACUGGUAAGAGUUAAAUAUAUGAAAUAGCUUAAAUGCUUAAUAGCUGUUUUCUGAUUUCUGACUUUGGGUACCGGGGAAGGAGAGAGAUGGUUGACCAACAUACAGUCCUGUCAAUUGAAGUGAUUAAAGAACGUUAUCGGUUCACAAUGAUUGAGAUGUUUUGUUUUCCCUGUAGGUCAUAUUAAUCCUCAGUUAGAAUUGUGAUUUCUUUUCAACAUUUGGGGUGUCCCCAGAGACUAUGAGUAAUGAGGUAAAGUGUUCGUUUGCGAAUCCUUCCAUUCAUCGUGGUGGCGUGAUGUAUGAUACAUCACCCAUUCCUAAGUAAAUCAAGUAGAAUAAGACCCCCACAAAUACCACCUUAAUAUGUGAGAUGAAUUUUCUGCUUGUGAGAUAAGGUGGAUAUUUUUUUCAUGUAUAAGGCGAUGUUACACCUUUUGAGAAGAUGCAAUGGUAUGAUAUGUAAUUCAUCAUCCUACCAUGAUGUAUAGAAGAAAGAUUUUUUUAAUUUUUGGUCGGACGUAUUAGGUGAUUGCCCAAAUUCUUCCCCAGCGGCCCUAGGCUUUCCCUCCGGUAAAUGUAAUGAUGGUGAGGGUUAGGAGUUGAAGAUGGGUUCUUAAAUCAGUUGUUUAGAUAAAUGGAGCUAUAUUAAAUACUACUACUAUUAAUGUUUUUGUUCUCUCUUUAUGUUAGCUGAUCAUAUAGUGCUGCUGAAUGUGAGCAUUUUUGUGGAAGCAGGUGGGAGCUGAUUCCUACAGCUUUUGUUGAGCAUAUUCUUUUGGGCUGACUAGCCUUCAAUUUCUGUGCUGGGUACAGAUAUGUAUAUAUGGUGUUUAUGUAGUACUCAUCCAUCUUUCCCAUCCCAUCUGGAUUUAGUUCAUUACAAUGAACUCAGGUCAGCACAAUUUUGUCAUUAAUAAUGAUUACUGUAUCAUGAGUAAAUUUUUACCAACUUUAUGGGGAACGACAUACCUCUAGGUCUUUUCACUUUCUAAGCAUAGAUUAUAAAGAUUUUUUAUUUAUUUUAAAUAUAGUAAUUCUUUGUACUGAUUGGACCCUUAUCUGUCCAAACCACUUUCUAAAUUCUAUCUUUACUUCUAAAUUUCUCCGCAUAUAUUUUGACUUUUUAAAGUCAAUUUGUAAAAAUAUAAAAUUGAAAAUUGGCGUGAAUUUGUUCAUGAUAAAUUAUAUAAUUAGUAGUACUAGUUGAUAGCCCGUGCAAUGCACGGGCUAGUUUGAAUAACGGGUUAUAUAAUUUAUUAAAAUUACAAUGAGAAAAAUAUUUUUUUUAUAAUAAGUUAUUUUUAUAUAAACUUUUCAAUAUAUUUUUACAUGACAUUAGAAACAAACAUUCAACAACAUUCAAUUGCUCAAAGUCGAUCACGGACAAAUUGUUAUUUUCCUUCACAAAAAAGUUAGUUAAUCUAAGUCCGGCUUGAAACCCAUAAUCUAAGUCCCAACACUCUUAUGCACAACAAUACAUAUAAUUAUCAACAAAUAAACUUAAAAAGACCAUUCAAGUAUCAAUAUUGUAAGUGAGAGUGUGAGACUUACCAAGUAUUAGAAAAAAAUCAAAAAUAAGUAACCAAAAGGAAUACCAUUUAACUUAACCUGUUAAAAUAAAUUUAGAUAGUUUCAAACAUCAAAAGUAUUAACAAUUUUAGAGAAAUCAAACAAAUUUAAGCAGCCUAAAUCAUAGACUAAUUUCAUGCCCAAUAAUUCAACAACAAAAAUAUAAAUUUACUCUCUGACGAAUUGUUCAGGCUUCUUGAUAACGAAAUUAUCCACUUAGAGCUGUUGUUUCCUUCUAAUUGUCCAAUCUUCAUUGUUUUUCCUUUUCUUCAAAACUACUUUUGAGAUGGAAAUCUAAGAAAUACAAUAAACAAUGUUCACCAUAAGCUGCAAGUUUCUAAGCUUUCUCUUUCCAAAGCAAUGCAUGUUUUAAAAAGUAAAUUGUGAGAAAAACAAUUUGGUAUAAUCCAUUUGACAUGUAUUAAUAAAACCAUAUUUAUUUACAGCCAAGGAACAAUUGACAUAGAUAAAAUAAUCUAGCAAAAAUAAAAUAAAAUACACUGACAUAGAUAAAAAAUUGAAGCCUACGAAAAGAACCUAUAAUAUAAAUCUUCACAAAAACAACAAAAUCAAGCGACUCCUGCAUAUAUCCAGCCACAAUUGAAACAACAUCAAUAUAAUUAAAAUAAGCAUAGUUGCAGAGUUUAUUAAUUAGAAAAGGGGGUCCAAAUGCGUAUUAUAAGAUUAUUUGAUUCUUCAAUAUCACGUAUUCGCUUGUUGUUCAAAUUGGAAUUCCUCCUUGGCAUAUUCGAAUGAUCAUCUGCAAAUCCAUGUGGCCGCUUUGAAGAUGCGGCAGUACCAUUGCCCAUAUGCGACUGUUGUUGCUACUGCUGUUGCUGCUGCAGCGGCAGGGGCAAUUCUCUGUUUAAGUCGGGACAUGUAUAUCUGCUACACUUGCCUGCCCUCCAAUGGAAACUAACCUUCUGUAGUUUAUUGUUGUUUGCAUUCGAAUUCGAUGGCCCUAAUCUUUGAAACACACGCUUACUUCCAUCAACAUCCAUUCAUUAUUAUAUAUAUAAAACUCAAGUCAAUACGUAUAAAAACAAAAAUAAAGACUCAACGAAUUAUUGGUCUAUUUGAAUGUGAAGAAUUAUGUGGAUAAGAUGUGAUCAUCAGAAUAAAAAGGUCGAGUGACCGAGUUUGAUAGUAAUUGAUUGGAUCAAGUGAUUGAUUACAAAAUAUGGAAGCCGGUGAGAUUAUAUAGUGCGUCGGUGAGUAUAUAUAUAUAUAUAUAUAUAUAUAUAUAUAUAAGUGAAAGAAGGAGAAGGGGAAGUGGAAGUGGAAGUGGAAGUGGAAGAGGAAGAGGGGUGGAAGAAGAAACUGAAGUGAGGAGGAGGAGAAGAAGAGGAAGAGACAAAAAUUAAUAUAAGAUUGAUUUGAAUUCAAUUGAUUAAAAGAUUAAUUAAUUGAUUUGAAUUUGAUUUGAUUGAAAUUGAUUUCAAUUGAUUGAAAUCAAUUGCUUGUGGUGUAAAUUGAUUUCAAAUUGAUUUGAAAAGAUAUCAAAUUGAUUUGAAAUUGAUUUCAAAAGAUAGCCUUUGCUGUAUUUAUAUAUACGUAUUGAAAUAUUGAUUUGCUUGCAAUACUUGCACCCGAGUUGUUUAAAAUUAAAUUAAUUUUAUCAGCUUUUAAUUUUAAAAUGUCAUAAAUUGACUUUAACCAAUCAAAAAUAAUUUUUUUUUUAAAAAUAGACAGAGUUUGAAAAGCUCACAUUUUCCUACAUCUGAACUGAAAAGGGAGUGCUUCAAAUUUAGAAAUUUGGAUUACUUUAAUCAAACUUAUAUAUGAAAGUUCAGAUAUUAAAUUUUUUAGUCAGAUUUAGAGUUUUUCUAUCUCUUUGUGAUUUUUAUCGAGGCUAGAAGAAUUGUUUUUACUCACAGUUUUUCUAGUUUGAAUCCAAAUUUUGUAAAAUAAAAAUAAAAAUGGUCAACAGUCUUUUAACAUGUGUCUAAAUAAAAAUACAACCGUUUAAAUAAAAUAUACAAUCUCUAAUUUUAAUUUAUUUGUCUUUUCAAAUGAGUUAAAUUUGAACUCCCAUCCAAAGAUUUGUGUGACAAUGAGUAAAUUUAGAUAUAUUUAAAAAAAGAAAAAGAGUGGAAUAAAUUUGUGAACAUAGGGUUUGGUGAUAUAUAUAUAUAUAUAUAUAUAUAUAUAUAUAUAUAUAUAUAUAUAUAUAUAUAUUGUGUUUCAAAUACUAGUACUUUCUUAAGAUAUAAUAUUGCAUUCCAUUUUUAUUGUAGUUAUAUUAAGUAGUAUUAUACUUCUUUUUCAUGUGUUUUCUUUUUCCUUAGGUAACAAUUUCAUAAUUAAAAAUAUUCAAUUUAAAUUAUUUAAAAUUUAAUUCUAUCUAGUACAUAAGUUUUUCAAACAUCAAUACCAUUUAUAAAAAAGAUUCUCCAUUUAUUUUGUUAUUAAUAAAAAUUUUAGAUAGUUUUACUAUUACAUUCACAGUAUAUUGAUUAAAAUUAAAUACAUUUAUAUUAAUUCUAAAUUUAAACAUAUCAUAUAUUUAUUUUAAAAAAUUAAAAUAACUCUUUUUAUCAAUCGGAUGUAUAAUAAUAUUUACUGAUUUGGGCAUGGAGGGGGAAAAUAUACGAAGUACUUAAAUUAUUUAAUUUAAUAAUAAUAAUUAAAAAAUCAUCGUUAUUUAUAUAUAGUAUAUUUCCAACUUUACCCCUACUUCCGAGGAAAAAGAAAGUACACCAUCCCCUUGGAGAUUGGCCGAAGGAAAGGUCAGCAAGCGUUGUUGCUAUGGAGAUGAAGAUGAUUCAAGCUGCUGCUGCAGCAACAAAUUGCAAUCGUAGCCGCCCCUCCUCCUCCCUUCAAACACUCCUUCAUCUUCAAUUGCCCGCUUUCAGUUUCAGCCCAACUUUCUCUAUCUCCUCUUUUUCUACUAAAAAGCUUCUCAUACCUUUUCCAACUUUCCCUCUCUCUCUAACCCCCACCACCACUCGUCCUACCAACACAGCAUACUCACUCCUCGACGAUGGUGCUUCCGGUAAGUACCCUUUUGUUGUGUAUUUUUAUUUUUAGUAAUUGUGUUUUUUUAAAGCCUGUGCUGGUAUUUUAUGUAGAUUCGUAGAAUGCAUUCCAUCUGUUUGAUAAAAGAACCACAUGAGAAUGCCAUUUGUUAUCACUUGUGCUUAAGCAACUAACUACUUCAUAAUCUAUUUCAAAUUUGAGUUUCUCUAUUCGUUAUACACCAUCCUUACCAAAAUGACAUUCCACUUUUUAAAGCAAGAGUUUUUAAGAAAAAAAUUACUGAGGUUACCAAGAUUGUUUCUAAUGAUAAUGAAAUUAUGUACGUUGAUUUUGAAGGUAAAUUCCCAUUUUGGGAUGCCUCAAGAGGGAAAAGUGGACUUUCAUUUAGGACGGAUGGAGUAUAAGUUUGGUGUUUAUAUCACGUAUAAUUGUUGGGCGUGGGUUCUCACCCAUGAGAUAGAAUUCAAGAUAGAAAAGAAUGGGUUUAUAUACUUGAUAUUAAUCCAAUUAGAAAUUGGGUUAAUGGAAGCAAUAUUGGAAUUGGAGAUUACAUGAAAGGAAUCCAAGUUGAAAAAGGAUUUACUUGUUAGAGUGGUUGGUGACCAAGACAAGGAGAUGUGAUCCCUAAUUUGAUUAGGAAAAUAAAUUGUUUUUAAUCCAUAAUAGGAAUGGAUUAAGAAGAGUACUAUAAAUAAGGCUAUGAGGGAGUCUUAUUUGAUACAUGAGAUAGAGAAGCUUGGUGGUAAGAAGAUACCAAAAAAAUAAAUUGAGAGAAUUACUGUUUGUUGUUCGUGGAUAUCCGCCAUCAUCUCCGUUCAAUUGAAAGCUUGAAGACUUUAUUGCUUGGGGUGUUUUUUUGGUGGUGAAGUUAAUUAGGUUUCUCAACUUAAUUAAAGGUAAAUUUGUAUUAUCUCAAUUUAUUGUGUAACCUCAAGUUUUAGCAUAAAACUUGAGAGGAUUAUUGUAAGUCCAUUAUUAGUGAUAUAGUGGAGAUUCGGAGUUUGACCCGUUGUUUUUACCUCUUAAUUUUAGAGGGUUUUUCACGUAAAUUUGGUGUCUUACUUGUGGAUGGUUAUGUGUUAUUUUUGUUCUCAUAAUUGGUUUUGUUGAUUUCAUAUUUAAUUGCACAAAGACGGAAAAGUAAUUCCUGGGAUAUAGAUUAUUUUUGGCGUACUUUUCCCAACAGUGGUAUCAAAGCUUGGUUAUUUUUGUGGUUUUCUUGUGCGAAUUAAAUGGAGGAUUGGACAGCAGGUUGCAUGAUUAAUCUCAAGGCUACAAAUUAUGCAAUUUGGAAGCCAAGAAUGGAGGAUUUGCUUUACUGCAAGGAUUUAUACGAGCCACUUGAGAACGAUGGAGUUAAGCCCACAAACAAGAGUGACGAGCAGUGGAACAAGAUGAACAGGAAGACUAUUGGUCUGAUCAGAUCGUGGAUUGAUCAAAGUGUGUUUCAUCAUGUUGCCACAGAAACUAAAGCCUAUGCUCUCUGGCAGAAAUUGGAGUCCAUGUAUGAAAGGAAGUCGGCGCAAAAUAAAGCUUUUUUGAUUAGGAAGCUUGUGAAUUCUAAAUUCAAGGAUGGAAACUCCGUUGCAGAACACUUGAGUGAUUUUCAGAGUUUGAUAAAUCAGUUGAGUACGAUGAAUAUGGUAAUUGACAAUGAGAUGCAGGCUUUGUUGUUGUUGAGCUCUUUGCCUGAUAGCUGGGAGACGCUAGUUGUAUCGUUGAGUAACUCCGCUCCUAAUGGCAAGCUAACUAUGGAUACAGUUAAGGAUAGUUUGUUUAACGAGGAACAGAGGCGAAGAGAUACUAUGGUGAUUAGCGCUGAGUCACAAGUUUUUGUCGCACAGAGUAGGGGCAAAAACAAAGGGAGAAACUCUCCUGAAGAUGACAAAUUCAGGGGAAGGUCAAGAGAUAGAAAAGAAGUAAUUUGCUUUCACUGCCAGAAGCCGGGUCACAUAAGACGAGAGUGCAGAUUUUUAAAGAAGGAGCAGUCUAAGGAAAAAGAUGAGGAUAAAGAUUCGAUUGUGUAUCUAUCCGACGUUGAUGUAGCUAUUGUUUGUGAUGAUAAACCCAAGUGUCAUGUUAAUGAUUGGAUUAUUGAUUCGGGUGCUUCGUUCCAUGCUACUUCGCGUGGUGAAAUCUUCACAUCCUACAGUAGUGGUGAUUUUGGCCAUGUGCGGAUGGGAAACGGAAGUGCAUCCAAGAUUAUAGGCAUUGGAGAUAUUUGUUUGGAAACUAACAGUGGUUGCAAGUUGAUGCUGAGAGAAGUCAGACAUGUUCCAGAUAUUCGUUUUAAUUUGAUCUCUGCUGGUAAGCUUGAUGAGAAUGGUUAUAAAAGUUACUUUGGUGAAGGUCAAUGGAAGCUCACCAAAGGGUCUCUAGUGGUCACUAGAGGUAAGAAGGUAGACACUCUUUAUACGAUGCGGGCGCAUGUGAGAGGUGUUGAAGAUGGGGGAGUUAGGCAGAAAAAGGUGUGGUACAAAGCCGUGCGAGAUGGGAGGAAAGCCUUGCAUGAGAACCACAAAAAGAAAGCUCUUCGCUUUAAAUGGGUACCAAAAGUGAAGAAGGAAAGUGAUAGCUCGCAGCCAGGGUACAAAGCGGUUGUGAAUGAAUUUGGCAAGCAAAAAUCUGUCAAGUUUGAGUUAGAUCCUCCCAUUGAGAAGAACCAUGCCGAUGAGACAAAGCCGGACAUGAAGAUAUUUGAAAAUUCCAAGAAGAUUGAGUUGAGCCAAGACUUCGUUGGAAUUAACUCCGAGUAAGGAGUUGUGGUUGGUGAUCCCUCCUCUCAUGGGUUCGGAGGGGGAGAUUGUUGGGUGUGGGUCCUCACCCAUGAGAUAGAAUCCAAGAUAGAAAAGAAUGGGUUUAUAUACUUGAUAUUAAUCCAAUUAGAAAUUGGGUUAAUGGAAGCAAUAUUGGAAUUGGAGAUUACAUGAAAGGAAUCCAAGUUGAAAAAGGAUUUACUUGUUAGAGUGGUUGGUGACCAAGACAAGGAGAUGUGAUCCCUAAUUUGAUUAGGAGAAUAAAUUGUUUCUAAUCCAUAAUAGGAAUGGAUUAAGAAGAGUACUAUAAAUAAGGCUAUGAGGGAGUCUUAUUUGAUACAUGAGAUAGAGAAGCUUGGUGGUAAGAAGAUACCAAAAGAAUAAAUUGAGAGAAUUACUGUUUGUUGUUCGUGGAUAUCCACCAUCAUCUCCGUUCAAUUGAAAGCUUGAAAACUUUAUUGCUUGGGGUGUUUUUUUGGUGGUGAAGUUAAUUAGGUUUCUCAACUUAAUUAAAGGUAAAUUUGUAUUAUCUCAAUUUAUUGUGUAACCUCAAGUUUUAGCAUAAAACUUGAGAGGAUUAUUGUAAGCCCAUUAUUAGUGAUAUAGUGGAGAUUCGGAGUUUGACCCGUGGUUUUUACCUCUUAAUUUUAGAGGGUUUUUCACGUAAAUUUGGUGUCUUACUUGUGGAUGGUUAUUUGUUAUUUUUGUUUUCAUAAUUGGUUUUGUUGAUUUCAUAUUUAAUUGCACAAAGACGGAAAAGUAAUUCCUGGGAUAUAGAUUAUUUUUGGCGUACUUUUCCCAACAAUAAUUUGGGGGUGGGAUUGUUCUAAGACAUUGGUAGAAUAGUAAAGCGUUUGAAUGUUAAUAAUUCUUGUACUAACUAUAGCCUUUUAUUUUUAUUCCCUUAUCAAGGUUCAGCAAUAGAAGUUGCUGAGGUUGAUCCAUAUUUGGCACUGAAGGUGAGACUUUAAUCAAGCCUGAAUUUAAUUUACGGGAUCACUAAUUUAUCACUUAUCAGUGUGAAUGACUUAAACAAAGGUGACAAAAUGUUGAAAAUUACUUUUUUGUUUUGCUACUCUCUCACUCUCUCUACAAGAUGUUAAUAGUGCAUAAAAAGAAACAAUUUUUUGUAUUAUGUUGUAGAACAUAUGUUGUGACACUAAUAAUGGUGUAACAAAUAAUUUCAAAUCUAAUUUUAACUGUUAAGUUUUAAAUUCAGAGCAAAGCUACAGAGAUAGCAUCUGAACUAAGAGGGACUUCCAUAUAUCUUGUUGGUAAGCAACUCUUUCUUAUUACAAUGCAACUUUGGUUAUAUUCUUAUAUUUGGAGUUAGAUAGUUCUUUAAACUAUCAGGGAUAAACAGCAGAAUCAAGACAAGCUUAGGGAAAUUUAUUGCUGAUGCAUUGCGUUAUUACUUCUUUGACAGGUAUAAAUCCAUUCUCAGAAUAUAUGCAGGCAUAUAAUAUUAUUUUUAGAAAUACGGCUGUUCAAGUAAAUUGCUUCGUUUCUUUUGUAUGCAGUGACAGUUUGAUUGAGGAAGCUGCAGGUGGUGACUCUGCUGGAAAAAAAUUUAGGGAGAGAGAUGAGAAGGGAUUUCGUGAGUCAGAGGUGACUGACUAGUACACAAUUCAGUUUAUUGCUUUGCAUCUAUGUUCAGAUUGUUAUAUUCUGUUCUGUAAUCUGGUUUAUUCCACAAUCUGUCAUUUAAAAGCUUCCAAAUGUAGAAAGGUUACUAUUGUACAGACAUCUUUUCUUCUUUUUUUUUGUUUAUAAAUAAAAUAAACGAUAAAUCAGCUCAUUUCGAGUAACAUUCAAUUGCAGACUGAAGUACUGAAGCAAUUAUCUUCUAUGGGUCGCCUGGUUGUUUCUGCUGGAGAUGGUGCAGUUGAGAGUGCAACGAAUCUGUAUGAAUAUAAUUGUUUUUCUGCCUGUUACUCUUCAUGAACAAAUUAAACAGUUAAAAUCGAUUGCUCUUUAAUACUGCAUUUUAGAUCACUUCUGAGGCAUGGGAUUUUGAUAUGGAUAGACCUCCCUUUGGACAUGGUAGCCAGAGAAGCUGUUGAGCAUGGGCUUCAACUUCCUGCAUUAGAAUUAUCAACUUCUGGAUCUUCUUCUGAGGUUUGUUUUUCCACCUAAAUAUUUGACAAAGUCUACAUAUUUUAUGUAAAAUUCACAAGCAUCUCAAUUGCUCAUGGCUUUCUUGGAUUCUUCUGAUUAUAUGUUCACUCAUUGUGAUAAAUGAAAACCAGGUAUUUGCUCAACUAACUGAUCUGUACAAACAAAUGCAAGGUGGAUAUGCCACAGCAGAUGCAACUAUUUCACUUCAGAGUACAUUCCCGUUACUUCGUGCUCAUAUAAUAUUUGCUAGAUCUCCUUUUGGUUCUAACUUUCUCUUGUUGUUUGCAGAAGUAGCUUGGCAGUUAGGGUAUGAUGACUUGGAUGCAGUGACUGUGGAAGACAUGGGUUUGGAGGUUGAAAAUAAAUACCUAUUUAAAACUUAAUGCAUUCUUAUCAUUGUAUUAAAAUUGACAAGUAAACUUUCUAUGGGAUUAUCCCUAUUUGUCAUAAUUUCAGGUUCUCAAGGAGAUAGAAAGAUUGAUGAGAGUAAAGAAGUUGAUGGAAGAGGCUGCAAGACCAUUUUAGCUUAUAAGGGUCAUCUUUUUCAUCAGUUGCAACAUUAAGUUUGGGGUUAGUUCUUUUUUACUUUUGUAUUAACUUCUUCUGUUCAAUUUUAUAUUACUUUUAUUUGAAAAUUGCAUUUAGUUGGCUGCAAUUGUUGAUUAUAUCAUCACUCUGAUAUGUAAAUGGAACUAAACAUAAUUGUUAGUCUGGUGAAUUUCUUCCUUGGAAAAUACAUGAAAGAACAGUUCUUGUUAUAACAAAGUGAUGGACAAUGGUGGAGGUGUGUAAGAAACAUGGCAGGGCAAGGAUAAGACUAGAAGUUGAUUGUGUUGCAUUAAGCUUUGAGUAGGAAAAGCAAACAGAAAAUAUGUGUGUGUGUGUGUGUGUGUGUGUGUGUGUGAGAGAGAGAGAGAGAGAGAGAGAACAAGACUUCACUGUGCAUGAGGCAGUGUUAUAGUCUUUUUAUUUCUGUUUUCUUAGUUAGUUGAUAGCAGUUAGAAGGAGAGGCAAUGUAGGACUAAUUGUUAGAAAAUAGUUAGGCUAUAAAUAGUGGUUCGUUGGUCUGUUUAGUGGACAUAUGGGUUGUAAUAACACAUCUUUUUUUACUUGAAUUCUACUGCUAUCUCUAUCUCAGUCUCUGUAAUCUGUCUGUUUCUCUUCAGUUUAUCCAUCAGAUCUCUCUUCUUAACUAAAUUAUUUUCUAAAUCAGCUCGAACAACUAGAUUACCGCUCUAGGUUUUAAUUGAAGCUCUGUACGGCUCACUCUGCGCCCCCCCAACACACGUGCACAUCAGGGUUGGAUUGAUUGGAGCAAAAAGUGAAGUAAUAUUUGUGUGUUUAAUAGGAAGUUGAAUUAUCUUGUUACGCUGGUAUAAUUUGAUCUGAUCAAUAGACUAAUGUAACAUAAAUAAUUUUGUUGGAAAUUGUCAUCCAGGUACACAGCAAUAAUACUCGAAUCAAAUCUACAGAUCUGCAUGGAGGAGGAGGAGUUGAUAUUUUUUUGGAAGGCAUAAGUUUGUUGCCAAAUCAUGCUAAAUAUAUUCAUGUUUAAAUAGAGUCCUAUUAUUUGUAUUCCAACUGGAGGGCUGAUAUCAAUUUCCAGUUGAUGACUUCUUUUUCGUCCAAUUAAUGAAUGCUAAGCAGUAGAGACAGUUUGCAGUAUUUAAUUCAAAGGUCUUAUCUAUCGUAGUAUGCAUUGUAUUUAGACUAACUUUGAAUAUUACUUGUGUAUAAAAAAUAGACUUAAAUAUAAAUUAUUACUCUAAACUCUUUAUCUUUAUCUCACCAAACUCAUGAAAAUAGUGUUCCCCUAAAGAUAUCAAAUGUGAGAUGAAACAUCAAUCAUCUAAAAAAUAAAGCUGAUACAUGGUGAAGCUCGGUGGUUUAUAUACAAAAAAACAAAAAAAAAGAGGAUCCAAAUUCAUUAUUCAAAAUAAAAAAAAAAAUCUGGUAUUCUUAGAUGAGUUUCUGGCUUUCCGCAGAUGAGACAAUAAUAUAUUAUUUCAUCUGCAACUAAUGGAUGGCCAUGAUGUGCCUAUAACAGAGAGGCUUCUAUAACCAACCACCUAGAAAGUAGCUAGAGAAACUUGUUACCAUUCUAAACAGUACCUUGCACAUUAAGAGGAUAAUUGCAAGUUCAAUUUAGACGAAAUUAAGUAAUCAAUACAAAGAUCGAGUAAUAUCUGUGCUCCUAAAAUAAACAUUUUGUCAGUCUAUGUUAUGUUGUGUAGGCUGAGAAGAACCAAAUACUGUAUAAAAUAAUAGCCUUAGGAUCUUUAAAGAGUUCAGAUAGGGAUCCUUCCAUAUGUAUAGAGAGAAAUCAAUACUAUGCAAAGGCCCUAGUGAAAUUCCUAUGUUUCUCUUUCUUUUAUUUCUUCCCCUUCGUCAUUGGGACGUACAAUUGCUUUACACACAGUACAUGGCCUUCAGUUCUUAGUGAAUUAUCUCGAUCAUUAAAAAUCAAGGCAAAGUUGCACUCCAAGAGGGUUUCAGCUAUCCGAACGCUACACGCUCUUUCUUGAUCGCUGUAAUGUCUACCGAGUGUUCUUCCCGUCCCUGGGGGGGGGGGGAUCAUUUGAUGCACUUUGAUCAGUAACCUAAGUUUCUACAGUGUGUUUAUCAGCCUUUUGUGAAUAAGUAUGGAAAGUUGGAGUUCACCUUUGACGAAGAAAUGAUCAAAGUUCAAAUGUUGGGACUUCAGAUUCAGAGCCGUGUCUCGCAUGGUAAACUAACCGAGGUAGUAUACUCCUAUAUGGGUCAUUUUCUCUUUUCUCCUUUAAAUAUGCAAGGCAUCUCUCAACCUCGACUUCACUUCCAGAUACAGUCCAUGUGAUUUUUCUUUGCUCCUUAAUUCCUGCUUUCUUCCUGCAAUUCAAUAUAAAAGCUGGACUGAGAAUAAAAGAAAGAAUUGAAGAACUUGUCUCAUAAAUAUUAUUUGCAAUGUAAACGUGGUACAAGUAUUUUAGAGCCAGAUUACGAUUUCAAGUAUAUACCAAGUUGAAUGUAUAUACUAAGAAUAUGGUCUUACAAUAAGUACACAGUAUACUUAAAAGUAACUCAGUGUCUCCUAAACUCCUACAGUCAGGUGAGGCAUUGCGUCUUCCUAAGUUUACUCUAUAUUUUUUUCUCUAGCACAAUUUAGUGCUAAAUGUGUGUGCAACACUAGAGUCUGCAACCGAACAGAAAAAGCACGGUUGUUAAGAGUUUGACACCGAAUGAUGUCAGUGGUUUAACACCUAAGCCAUAGUUGAGCCGAGGGAAAAUUGAAGCCAAAACAACCCAGGUGACAUUGCAUGCGAACAUUUUGGUUUAACGUUUGAAGUAGACAAACUCAUAUCUAGUGAAGAUACUUUACUUUUGUCCCCAUUCAAUAUGAUCGGAGAUAAAAUAAAGUCGUAAAAAAUGGGUAGCAGCCAGUCCAAAACUAAUAUAUGAAUUGGGUAGCACACAGACAUUCAGCAUAUUGUACAUUCUCAUUAUUUUGAACUUACCAAGAAGCUUUUCCUUCCUCCCAAAAGGUAUCAAGGAUGGUUCACAUUCACUAGAAAUUAAAAAGGAAAAAAGAAAAGAAAGAUUGCAACAUCAUAAUCAGGAAUCCUAAAGUGGCUACUUCACAAAGAUGAUUUUUAAUUUUAACCACAGACCCAUUAUUACUUGACCAAAAUAAACAAACAUUUAAAGACUCAACUGUAAGUGCGUGGGAUUCUGAGGUAGGGAAAAGAUUUAAGCUCAUCAUACCCAUAUUAACUGAAGGAAUAUGUAAAAUGCUAGAUAGAUAUUCAAACAUGAGGCUAAGUAUGUACCUUCUGUUUCAAUUGGUUUUCCAAGAAAGUAAUAAUAACGGCCAGGAAGUUUGGGUAGCAAUAUUGGAAGGUGUUGUUCUUGCUUUGUGACCUCUCCUACACAGUCAGUUCUAUGAUCACAAGAAUAAAGAACUAUUAAAACAAAUAAAAAGAAUCCAACCAUGAAAACGAAUGACUGAUUAAGAUAAGUAAUAAAACUAGCAUCAACUGUUAUCAAUCUAUAGUAAAAAAGUAUACCUAAAUAUAACACAUAUUAACAAGUGAUAGUCUGUGUGUGUUGCAUGAACAUAAUGCUAAAAAUUUAAUCAACUUCAAAUGGUUAAAUAAAAAAGCAAUUGAUCUCAACUCCACAGUUUUCCACAAUCAUGCAUCGAUUUGAUAUACGUAUUUUCUUUUAAUGUUUUCUAAUUUUAAAAGAUAUAUAGUAUGGAAUUAUGGAUCUUCUCAGUUUGCCUUAUUUUUAAAGAGUCACAGUAAUAUCUAGUAACGUUAGCUUAUAGUCCCUAAUAACAAACCUAUAAGUAAAAACAGAUUUACUAAACAGAAAAAAAUUAAAAAACUGGAGAAAAGUUUUGUACAUAUUAACAGCUUGUUUUAAAGUUAUGCGGGAAGGGCUCAUGCAACUGCAGUGGGUUUGGAAAAGAAAUUGGUCAUCAUUUUGAACAUUUUCUUCCAAUGAUCCUCUUAAUUGAGAUAGGAGAUCCAGUACUUGAAGUAGAAAUCAUUUAGCUUCCAUCAUACAUACUGGAAUCAUGUCAUACUAAAACAGAAAUAUUUUUUUCAACUCAUCUACAUCCAAUUUUUUUUUUCUGGCUUGGCUGGGCCCAGCCGAGCAAAAACCCUUUCAUUAUGAUCCUGUCUAGGCAAAACCAAUAAAGAAAAAUCUAUUCAACAAGAAAAAAAAAAAAAAAAGGAGAGUAAGGUAACACUUAACACCCAAUCAAGUAAUAAUAAAAAGCAGCAUACACUUUAGGUUUACUCAUUUCAAGGGUGUAAAAUCAGGCCCACAAUUUGUACAGUCAAGAACAACCAAAAAAUAGGCAAAUAAAAAUAGAACUUUCUACUGAACCAAGAAGAGAGGAUAAAACAUAACACACCUCAACUUCACAGUCUCUUUAUUUAGUUCCUCAUAGAAAGAUUUAAGAAAGGGAAUCUGCACUUGGUCAUCAUAGUCAAGAAGCAACUAAUUGAAGAAAAAAACAAUUGUCACUCAUCACAUCAUCUCUGACAUUGAAACAUAAUUUUGUCUUCUUUAGGUUGCCCCAUAGAACAACUCUUUUUCAAAAAAAAGUUUAUGACUUUGUAGAAGAAUUUCUUAGUUAAAUUUUUUAAAAAAAAACUCAAAAUAUAUAAUAUUGCCAUAUAAAAAUAAAAAUUCAUGCUUAAAAAGGUAGAAUAAAUUGUGUAGAUUUAUAAGCUAUACUUGAUAACAAAAGCAGAGAUUAGGUAAAAGAAGUUUUGACGCUUACUUGAAAAAUAUCAUCUUCUCCAACAACACCAAAUGGUAUAAUUUUGGCUCCAAAUCUAGCCGCCAUCCUUAUAAACUCAGAAUGUGCCGGCCAGAAUAGCUUGUAUUCCUCACCCUGAAAAAGUAUGAAUAUUAGUCUGAGAUUUAUAGUUCAAAGAACUUUUAGCUCGAGCGACAAAGAAAAAUACUGAUGCUCAUAAAUUUUUGAGCAAAUCAAUCAGUAUAACAGUAGAGCAGAAGAAAUUCAGUAAUUGGCUUAGGUAUCUUUGCACAAUAAGAAAAGGUGAAAACUAAAGUGACAUGAGAGAACUCUUUGGGAAAAAGAACAUGGCUAAAUUUAACUACAUAGAUAGAUUCCACCAGAAUUUUGUUGACUUGGUCAUAUUCCAACCUUAUGUUUUGAUGAUGACUUUCUAUUUAUACUAAAUGUUUACUCGUGCAUUUAUAGGAUAUUAAUGAGAACAAAAGAUUUCUUGAAACCUUGGUUUUGUAAAGAAUUGAAGGCAUGAAGACUUGAAGAUAUGAUUGAGUUAUUAGGAAAUCAAUGUAAGAUCCUAACUUUAAUUAUAUCUCAAUCUAGGCUCUAGGAUUUGUAUUGUAUGAAAAUAAUCGUGGAAGUAAUUAAAGGAGCUAAUUUUUGGAUUGAUUCUUAAAUAAAUAUUUCUUAUCAUAAUAAGUUGUCCAUUGAUUAGUUAAUUGAAAACUUAGAAAUUACUUAAUUGAGUCACCUUCCUUUAUAUCAGAAUCUCAAUUAAGUAUUGCUGACAUGAUUCUAUAUUACCUUUGCUGACUAAAAUCAACUCUGAUCGAAGUGACCGAAGCGUGCUUAUUUCCUAACGGUCACAUAAUUGGGAUUGACAAUCAAUUAAGUACUAUGAUCAUUGCCUAAAUAUCCUUCCUGAUUGAUUGUAUACUCAACGGCUAUAUUCCUUCUCUAUUAUAAAUUGAUCAGCUGAGUUACAAAGUGGAGUAGAGAAGAACAAAAUAUAAACGAAUACUAAAAGAAGGUUGUUGAUUUUUCUAUUGUGAAGAAUUAAAAGGUUGUUGUGCUUCAUCAAGUUAAUAUUAAUUUCAGCUUCGUUUCAUCGCGCUUAAUCUGGUGAUAUCUUUACAUAAUUCAUUGAUCAUUGCAUAUUAAUUGAGCUUUGAAUUGUGAUAUAAUUAUUACUUUGAUCAUAUUUUAAUUUUUAAUCAAUUAUCAAAACAGUUGAUAGACUAAGUGGUUAGUCUAGGGUUUCUAAUCUGGUUAGGAUUAGGGGGUUUUACAAGAAAGCUUAAGGAAGCAUAGGUGCACGGGGAGCAAAGAUGCUUGAGAGCAAAAAUGCUCGAGGAGUAUCUUGUCUUGUAAAGAGAUUUAAUUGUAAACUAAGUUUAUUAAUAAAAGAGUCUCCGAUACUAGUUGGUACCUCUAACCUGUGUUAUACCUUAUAGUAGCUAUAGCUAUGGAUAUAGGCCCUUCUAGGGCCCUUCUAUAGGUCUUUCUAAGACCUACUUUAAAAAUCAUUUGUGUUCAUGUGAUUAAUUGUUUUACUUUAAUUGUUCAUUACAUACUUCAAUUUGAAUUGUAAUUCAUAAUCUUAGUUGAACAUAUAUAUUUCAUCAGAAAAUUGUCGAUUUCAACUCAGGUCAUUAAUUAGUAUAAGUAAAUAAAUUUACAAAACUGGGACAAUAAACUGUUUUCUGUUAAAUUUGAUAAAUCGGUAAUCUAGCAAAAUGAAUUCAUAAAUACAACAUACCACAUUUUCAAACAGAUUUUUUUUUUGACAUAUUUCUUGAAUUGCAAAAAAUUGAUAUAGUUUGUUUCCACACUUUUUCAACCCCCUUCUAAGUGUGCCUAUUUGAAUUUCAAAUUUAAGGUCUACCAACAAUUAGUUCAAAUGAUUUCUCCAUAACAUACACUCUCUCCAUUCCAAAUUACAAGAUCGCUAUUGAUUUUCUAAAAGUCAAUUUGAAAAAUUUUCAAACUCAAAAUUGACACGAUUCAUUUAAGUUUUGAAAACAAUAAAUUAUAUAACUAACAGUCCUUUUUAAGUAGUUUAUGAUAUUCAUAAUUGUAUUGAAAUAAAUUAAAUGAAUUCAUGUCAAUUUUGAGUUUGAAAAUAUUUGAAGUUGACUUUUAAAAAGUCAAUAUUGAUCUUAUAAUUUAGAACAUAUGUAGUAUAACCGUUGGGACAACAACCAUAUCAAUGUGUCUUUUAAUUCAAAUGAUUUAUCCUAUAAAUAGAAGGCAAGUCAAUGGAAUAAUUAAUGAGAAAAGAAGCAUCAUCUGUAAGAUGUGGAUUAAAGCAGGAUAUAACAUUAACUCUUACCUUUCGAUGAAGAGCUUCACGCACGCCUCCUGGAUACAGCAGGAUAUGAGAAUUUAGAGAGAAGAGUUUGUAAAAAUUAGUUGCUGAUACAGGAACUGCGCCCAUAACUCUGACAUAAUCGAAUGAUGAUAUAUGAGGCAUAUUUCCUUCUCUCAACUUCGAAAACAUCAGAGGAUGUGCUAUCGCUCGCAAAAGUAUAUUUCGAUUGACCCAAAAACGGGAUACCAGAGGAUAUGAUUCGAACCCCAGCAUUGUGUGAUUACCAACAUAUAAGACUGGGCCUUCAGAAGGAAUCCCAGCGAGGCCCCUCACAAUCUUCCCAUUUUCUAAAGUUGACAGUAUCACAGGACUAACAACCUUCUCUAACCAGCUAAAUUUCAUCAAUAUUGCAAAGACAUUUUAGAUUAUGUUGAAGAUACCCUACUAGAACUUGACAAAUAACAAAAUAUCCUCAGAAGACAAUAAGGAAGGAAAUCAGGGUACAGAAUCAAGCUAGCAAUGACAAUGUUCUCCCCAGGAAUAAGAUAGAAAUCAUUGGAAAAGACGGUAUGAGCAUGGCUACAAUCAAAUCCCUUUAUCACUGGUAAAGCAUAGUAUUUUGGUUUCAUAAACAUGAAUGUGUCUUUCAUAGAUAUGAUCUAAUCCAAUAUAUAUGCCUCUAGUCACAUGUCAGUUGUCACCAAUAGAUAAACAAUUACCAUACUCCCUCCAUCCUAAAUAAAGAAUACCAUUUCUUAAACUAUUUUUUUAGGACAGAGGGAGUAUAAUAUUUCUCAGUCUUCUCUUUAUAGGAUUAUAGUCGAUACUUUGUUUGAAAUUUCAGUUACCUGUUAGAUUCAUAUAUUUUCUUGAAUUCAGAAGGGCUUGGUGGCAAGUAAUCUGAUGCAUAGUCAUGAUAUGCUGUGCGACGAUAAAAACUGGCACUGGUUAUGAUAGUUACCAAAUCAUUAGCAGGUUCCUGUUAGAUACAUGCAGAUUUUACCGUGCUAUUAACAACUCUUGUAGGAUGAAAUAUUGAGUGAAAUUUCCUACAUCCCUAACUCAAUAAAAAAUAUAACUAAAAGGGCAUUGAACAUUGAAACAAUGCAUAAAUUACAGCUAGUAUCAAGAGGAAAAUGUUCUUGUGUUUGAAACUAAGGUGGUGUUUGAAACACGACUUAAAUGUAAAAGAGUUGUUUGAUAACUGAUAUGUAUAGUAUAUUUGAAUACAACCUUUUACUAUUUUACCCUUAGAUCCGUUUAUACAAACUUAGGGUGGGAUAAUAAUAUAAUUAUAUAAAAUCACCAACAAUGUAUAACUAUUAAAAUAUUUUAAGUUUAAUAAAACAUAAUAAUAAUUAUGACAGUUUUACAUAAUUAUUAUAAAAUAUGGCGGUGGUGGUGGGUGGUGGNNNNNNNNNNNNNNNNNNNNNNNNNNNNNNNNNNNNNNNNNNNNNNNNNNNNNNNNNNNNNNNNNNNNNNNNNNNNNNNNNNNNNNNNNNNNNNNNNNNNNNNNNNNNNNNNNNNNNNNNNNNNNNNNNNNNNNNNNNNNNNNNNNNNNNNNNNNNNNNNNNNNNNNNNNNNNNNNNNNNNNNNNNNNNNNNNNNNNNNNNNNNNNNNNNNNNNNNNNNNNNNNNNNNNNNNNNNNNNNNNNNNNNNNNNNNNNNNNNNNNNNNNNNNNNNNNNNNNNNNNNNNNNNNNNNNNNNNNNNNNNNNNNNNNNNNNNNNNNNNNNNNNNNNNNNNNNNNNNNNNNNNNNNNNNNNNNNNNNNNNNNGGUGGGUCAGGGUUGAGGUUGGGGUGGGCGUUGGGUAUAGUGAGAGAAGUGAAGUGAAAAAUUAAAACAAAAUGAAAUUAGAGUAAUGAAUAGCCUCGAUCAUUUUUUUAAGAGGCAAAAAGAGGUUGAAUUUUUUUUUAUCAAACAACUUUAACCUCUGAACGAAAAAGAGGCAAGACCAAGAAAAGGCUAUCAAACAGCCUCUAAAGCUUCACAGUGUGGUUUAUAUUUAAGCCCUUCUCAACUAUUCACAAAUAAUACUCCCUCUCUUUUAAAAUAUAAGACCAUUAUUGACUUUGGUAUGAAAACUGUGGUGUUAUUUGACUAUUUGCUUGCUCAUUUUUUUAAUUAACUUGUCUUUACAUACAAGUCUAGCUUUGUCUACUUGCUAAUUUGGGUCCUGAUAGGCUGAUACCAUUGUAGUAUUCAUAGUUUAUAUAUUCCAGUUGAAGAAUCAACAAGUGUGAUGCCUUCACUAAGGCUGCUUAAUAGACGGAGACAGGGACGGAGCUAGCCUAGGUAUUGGGGGCCUAGGCUACGCCACAAUUUUCAAAGGUUUAUUUUACAACCUUGAAGUUUUGAUAUUUUUACUUUAGGCCCCCCAAGAUUUAUAUAAUUUGCACACUUAUCAUAAAGAUAUUUUAGUUAGUUUCUAACUAAAAUAACUUUUGUGAUGCUAAUAUAUAUUAUAUAAACCUCUUGUAAUAAAUUUCUAUCGUGUCAUAUUAUUUCUUGGCUCCCCUUGAAUUUUUUUGGCUUCGUCCCAGGACAGAGAGAAAAAGAAAGAGAAUCUAUCAUACCAAGAAGAAGGCAUGACCACUGUCAUUAAAUGUUCGAAUCUUACAGUUCGGCAGAAUAUGCCGAAGUCUUUCUCCUUCCUCUAGACUUGGUAGCAACUGAUCCCUGCCACUGCAAAGAUUAACAACAAUGCAAACUGGUCAGCUUUAGAAAUAUAGCAAGAUCAGGAACUACAAAAACCAUGGCAAUUGUAGGGUAACACAAUGAAAAAAGGAUACUGGAAGAGAAGAAGAAAAGUCUGAUAUAUGCACUCUUAUACAAUUACCUAUUAAAAAAUAAGAAAAUUUCAAAGAGAGAAACUGGAAAAACGUGAGCACAACAACGUUAUGUUAUUUUGCCACUCGGUUUUUGCCCAUCGAUGAAAAGCAUGAAUAGUGAAGGCUUGGGCAUUUAUCUCUUAUGGCCUAACAUAUAAGCUGUAAUUGGUGAUAAUUCAUACAUUUUUAAUUACCUAAUUUUGUGUACUUUAAUAUUUUUAUAAAUUUAAUUAAUUAGUUUUUUUUUUUGCAGGAAGUAAAUAAAUAAAUGAAGUUGAGUUGAAAAAGGAGUUUCAGAAGCUUACUAGUUGAGCAAGAAAAGAAUACUUGGAAGAUAGAGAUAACGAGAUUGAGUUUAUCUAAGAAUAUUGAAAAAAAUUGACCAAGUUUAUUGUAACUAUAUUGGGGAACAAGUAAUUUGCGUCUAGGUCUUUUAUUUUGGAGUGAGAAUUAUUUAUUAGUUUAGGUUAGGAAGAGUAGUAGGAAUAAAAUUAAAUUACUUUUCCAUUGUAAGCUCGUCGAAGAAUUUUAAAUAAAGGGACUUUUCUUCAUGUCAACUAAAUUCUUUAAUCUAGUAUGAAGAUGAAAUUAAAUAAUUAUUCAUGACAAUAUUCUUCAUCUUUACUAUUAUUUGCGCUUUAAUGUUUACUUGAUUUCACCUUCAUUUUUCAGUAUUGAAAUACCUUCAUUUAUAAUUCCUAUUCCUAUGUAACUUUUAAAACAAUUAAGAGGUUUUUAAUAGAUUAUUGUUAAUGUAAAUUUUUCAUAGUUUAUACUUGUCCAUAUUAAUUAUAAACUUAUUACAUAAAAGGAAAGAAAAAUCAAAACCAUAGUAAAUUUUAACUGGAUUUAAUUGAUUUAUUUUCCGAAUUAUGUACACCAAACCAGUGUCAUAACUUGAGUUACAUAAUAGAAGAGAUUGAAUUAAUUGUAAUGUUUAUUGCUUAGUGGAUUCGGAUUCCAAAUUAUUUUUUCAUUAUUAAUUUUCAUCCUCUAAUUAGUUUAUUUAUUGUUUCAAUUUUAGUAAAUCAAUUCUCCAUUUUUAUUUCUGAUUUACCUGAAAUACAUAUUAAGAAUAUUUUAAAAUUAAUCUAGUCUAUGUGGUUCUACCUGUACUUGUCAGUUCUUUAAUUUGACGUUGUACACUUGCUUACAUAAUACUUUCACAUCAAUAGGCAAUGGAUUUAUUCUUUAAGGAAAGGUUUAAAUUAUGAUAUCAACCCAUGAUCGUCUCUUGAUUGACCAAAAUCCAGGGUCAUGAGUAACUCAACUGAAUGACUCCCAGUUGUGAUCUCUAGCAAAAAAAGAUGGUCACAUUAAAUCGUGCUCAUAAAUUUAUUAUGCACUUUGGAAUCUCUAACCUGUAAAAUGAGACCAGAAGCAGAGGCAUUCCUACCACUAAUAACCCACAUAAUAAUUUGAACUAACGAGAUAAAAGGACACCACUAUAAAGUAUUACUAGUAUAGAUAUCAUAAACAACUUAUUAAAUUUAGAACCAAGAUCUCAAGCACAGGAAGCAAUGAUUUGAUAGGAGAACCAAUUGCAGAUUUUGCUAUUUCAUUGUAAGGGGCAACUUAAAGAUGAGACUUCACAGAAAAAUGCUAAAUAUAGUUGGCUAAAUAUCUUUAAUUAUCUGAUAAAUACAUUCGUUGUUCUGGUUGAGGUUAUUUCCUCCCCUGUUUCAUUAAAUGAAAAUUUCAAUUGAAUAUUAAGCAAGAAGCUAGUUCUUAGAGUAGUUGGUAGGUUAACUGUUGAAGUAGAAGUAUAAACAUCAAAACUCCACAAAAAUUUACCAUUGUGAUCAAGGACACUACUAAAGGCACUAGUAAUAUAAUCUUGGUCUAUACUUUGUGGUAUGAAGCAGCCAAGGGGUUCUUACAAUAAGCUCUUCAAGAUAGAGGUGUUUCCACUAGUAAGAUUCUACUACGUCUAUUGAGGCUGAUAUUCAAGAAGUAACAUAUAUAUAUAUAUAUAUAUGUGUGUGUGUGUGUGUGUGUGUGUGUGUGUGUGUGUGUGUGUGUGUUCAAUUAAAAAUUAAAAGGAACUAAUAAUUAUGUCAUAUUUUGGCAAAUAAGUUUUCAAUCUGAUCAGAUUGGAGAGAGGAGAGAGAGAACCUGGAGAGUACUAGAGUCUGAGAUUUUACAGCAUGGAGACAUGAAUUGGCAUAUGCACAAGAUGAUUUAACCAUCUUCAGCUUCCAGAGAAGUGAUUCCGCAGAUAGAACAUCUGCCAUGACCUGGUAUUGAUUAAACUGGAGCAUUAAGAUGGAGGAUACCAGCAACAGAGAUUUGAAAAUUGAUCAUAUCGAAGAUAAAUCCUAGCAAGUCUUCCUUAUAAGAUUUAGUAGUAAGAUAUAUAUUCCAAGGAGGACAAGGAAACAUAGAGUUUGAUGAUUUGAUUACAUGUUUUCUCAUGUAUUAACAUGUUACAUGUAGAAUCCAUCACAGAAAAUGUGAAGAACAAAAUUUUUAGUGUUAUGAGAACUGUGCCAAAAAAAUACACACUUUUAAACAUAUAUAAAGAAGAAGAAAUUAAUUAUUAUAGCUCAACGGCAUGUUUAAUAAGUGAAUCUUACAGAGAGGUAGGAUGACAAUGCUACAAUAUCAUCAGAUAUCUCUCCAAUUGUUUGUUGCAGGGGAAGUCCUUUCUCCAGACUAGCCAUCACCAUCUUCGAUUGGAUAUCUAUAUAUAAAAGUGAAUAAAUAAAAUUACCUACUUAAUUUGGAACAAAAACCAAAUAAAAAAUUUCACUGCAUCUAAUGGAAUCAAUUAUAAUAUGCAUCACCUUCAGAAAAAAGUGGCACACAGUUUCGAAAGAAUCCUACAGAAGCCGAAGUUUAUAUCAGUUUCUCUAUAGGCUUAAAUAUAAAGUGAAUACUGCCUAGUUGAUCUAAGGUCCAUCUUUUCUAAAGCAAUUUCCAAGUGUCUUUUUAAAGAUCACGAGGAACUGGUCCGACAACAUUUCUCUUUAGUUAUUUGCUUAAUUUCUAUAGUAAAGGUUUAUGGAAGUUAAACAAUCUGAGGCUUAAUUUGUUCAGGAUUUCCCUUAGGUCUGUUCAUCAAUCAAGCCACCCCAGCCAAAAAAUAGUUCAAAAUGUUUUCUUGAAUAGCAAAGCUUAGGCAACAAAAUGCAGGGAACAAAAAUUGCUUAGCAAAAAGGAGCUUGCACUUGUAAAAGAAUGAGGAAUUUAUACUUUGACUCUUUUCUUUUUAAGCUGAGGCACGCACAACCACUACCCUUCGGGUGUGCACUGUAAACCAAUGGACCCAAAGUGUUUAUGCAGAGUAAAGAAUGAGUAAAUUUAAUCCCUGCCUAUGCAUUUUAACAAUUAUAAACCAAAGAAAGUAAGUUUUUUGUUCCUUACGCUACUGCCAAAAGAAACAUAAGAUCUCAUAUAUAUAAAAAAUCUACACACACAAAGUAAUACCUGUGACUCGAUUGGUGAAAUAUUAUCUUUCCCCAAAAAGUUUUUUUUUACCAGACAUACAAUUUUUUGUUGUUGUGAAUGAACAAGAUUUUGAGAAACUAUUCAUGCGUAAAAUCAUAAUUAUUGAUUGCGUUAGAGAAGUAAAACACCAGAGCUUCUAUGCAAAGACCUUAUCUGGGUGUUAUUUCAGACAUUAGCACAGGCAACCAAACUUUAUCAUCAUAUCCAAUCAACUAAAGUUAGGCAGAUUUUUGAACUGGCUAAACCAAGUGUACCCUGCAGAUUUGCCUGAUGCUGCCCUGCCCGCUGCCGCCUGCCGCCUUCUUCUUCGCACUACAGGUCUGCAACAGCCAACAGUUAGGUUUUUUUUUAAACUUACAUGAAACAACGUCGUUUCAUUUAGUAAGUUUUUAAAAAAACCUUUUCUUUUCUCUUCAAAAUCGCAUCAACAACCCUUUUUUUUCCCUUCCGCCGACCGCCUCUCAAGUCUCAGCCUCUGUGGCUCUGCUAUCCUUUCCCUUCCAGUCUUCCUCCUGACUUAGUGCCUUUGCAGCUUUGCUUCUCCCUUUCUCUCUCCAGGUUAAGCCAUUGAGGUCAGUGAUGUCAAUUGUCACCCCUUAGGCCCUUCUGUGUUUCUUUUUCAUAUAUGUUAAUCUCUGUAUGUGUCUACAAAUAAGUAAUUUUGUGCUUAAUUUUGCCAUUAAAUUAGAGAUUUAGAGUUUGUUAUGCCAUGAAUUAGAGAUUAUGUGUUAUUUUCAUUGAAUAUUUGAAUUAAUAUUGUACAUUUAUCAAUUUAUGGUAUAUUUAUGAUAUAUUGUUUGUGAAAUAAUUGAAAUUAUUGAAUUAGGUUAGUUGAUAAAAUUAUGAUGAAAUGUUUGAAUUGAUGAAUGAUGAAAUUAUUAUGAAAUGUUUAAAUUGAUGAAAUUAUUGAUUAGCAAUUAAUGUUUUUAUUUAUUAUAGAUUAUGGAUAAAUACUUGAUUCCGCCACUGAAUGGAUCAUCCCCAUCAGGGUUAAUAAACAAAAAAAAAUUACUGAUGUAUUUUGACCCCCCUUUAAAAACGUUAUGGUUCUGCCACUGGCUAAACUGAUGCAUUGUGAGCUCUAAUUGGAAGCAAUAACAUAAUGAAGCAAGGACUAAAGCUUAGAUAGGAAUUUAAUAACUAUUUCAGAACCUGUCAUUAAGCUCAGCAUAUAAGGCACACCAAAAUGGACUCUCUCAGGCAUGAUUUCUAAUAGAGGAAUUAGCGGUUGCAGUUGGGACUUGCUGAAAGAUGUAGCUGCCAAGCAAGAGUGUUAUGCAAGAGGAUCAUGAAAGUCGAGAUAUUGAUCAAUGUCUAAGCUCCCAUGAACAUGAUUAUUCAGAAGAAACAAACUUCUCACCUGGAUUAGCCAGUAUUAAAACAAGAUCAAUAUCAGGACAACGGGCUGCAACAGCUAGUGCUAGGCACCCCCCAAAAGAUUCUGCUACCAGAUAUAUGGGCCGAUUUGGUGAAUGGUAAUGUUCAGAUCUAACAGUUCUUUCAACCAGCUUAACCAGCUCUGAACCAUAAGAAGUAGAAAAAUGUGAAAGAUUAGCAUCUUUCCCUUCACAAAAGGAAAAGAGUAACAUGGAAACUAAUCUCAAUAAACGAGUUUCAAUUUCAAAUUAUUGCUAAAGUAGGAUUUGGGUACUCCCAGGAGUUGUGUAGCCCACAUUCCAAUGAUCAGAGCACCAAACAUCAAAAAUCAUUAUCUAAAAUCUAAGAAAUGAGGUUAGUUACCACAUGAUAAGAAAUUGUUUUUGGCUCUUUAGAUUUGGCCAUGGUUCAAAUAAACAUAACUUGUAGACCACCUAAAAUGAUGGCCACAUUAGCAGAACUCCAAGAAUAAGACGUUUAACUUGGAAUGUCAUGCCUUCUUAUCUUCCAUCAACUCCUCUUUGAAGCCACUAGAUAAAAGUAUUGAAAAAGGUGAAGUAUGAACCGUGCUAGCCCAAUAUCUUCAAUUACAUAACUAAUCGGUCAAGACAACCCAAGGCUCCACUUUAAUGUUCAAUAAGUAUCGGAAAUCCAUCUAAGGAUGACAAGGUGUUAUUUAAUUCAAUACAAGUGAUGCCAUCAGAUUCUACCAACCCUGUAUAAGCCCCGAGUGUGAAAUAAAUGUGUGAUACAGAGAGAGAGAGAGGACCUGGAAAUGAUGUUCGGUCAUCAAUAGGAAUAUGCAAGCACCAUAUAUCAAAGAUCCUUCAUUUGAGGAAAAGAAAAACACGGAUUAGGCAUAACUACCUAUCAUAUUAAACAAUUAAGUCAUUAAACUCGAGAGUAUUAGUAAUUAUGAUAGCAUAGCAACGACAAUCUACGUUAUGUGUUCAGAGCUUCUUAUAUCUUAUAUUUUGGUCUAAGAAUGAUUAUAAGGAGCAUUUAGCUUCACAUAUACUUACUGUCCAAGUCUUUGGAAAUGCAGAGUAAGGCUGAGCCCAACACCAUCAAUUGCUGCAAGGUUGAAAUUGAUAUCUUUUAAGAUAAAACAAAAUUUAUUGAACAAAAGUUAAGAAUGUACCCAACCCACAAAAAAACAAGCCACUAUAAGCAUAUCUGUUUUGUUUAUUAGCUAAAAUUUCCAUUCACAUCUUUAUAAUUUAUGCGCAUAUACUUUAUUAUAAAAACUAAAACUACAUAUCAGUGUCAUACUUAACUUAUAAUAGUAUAUGUCUAUAUCGAUAAAGCAGGUAAUUAAUCGUAUUCAAUUGACUUUUUACACCUUUAUCAAAAAGAGGAACUUUUUCUGCUAAAUGAUUGCUCACAUGAUAGGAAACACAAAAAAUGAAUGUGGAUUCAACUAUUUCCCCAUUUUUUGCUAGCAAACGUUUCGCGAACAAAAUUUAAGAGACGGAAAAAAGAGGUAGGAAAAAUAUUUUUAUUUUAAGAAAAAAAAUAAUUGAACCCGGAAGAGAUAGCAAGAGAGGGGAGUUAUUCAAUCGAGAGGCGCAUUCCAAGGGCGAGAACCACCGAGGUGGUCCGCCGUCCGGUCGGAAUAAAUAUUCCGACUGUUCAAAGUAAUCCUUCAAGCUCAGACUCCUGACUUCUGAAUCUUCGUAAUGUUUAGUUAUGGUGUCAAUUUCAGAGUUUUUCUUCAAAGUUCCGUUCUGCCAAGAGACAAUACCGGAACUAGCACUAGCUUUAGCCGUUGACGACACAAUUGACCGACGACUUUUGCCGGACUCCAAAAAGUAUACCUUUCUUCCAGGCAGGAUGCUACCGGUAGGCUGAGAAGUGCCGGCGGCAAAAACGGCUGGUGAAGUAGUCUCCAUGUAACAAGGUUAGGGAGUAUCUACCAAGACUUCCUCGUCUCACUCUAGCUAUAGUUUGCUUUCUAACGGAUCCGGUUAGUAUUAGUUGGUCAAUUGCUAGAAUUUUUUUUUAAAAUAACGUCAGUCACAUAAAAAAAUAAAUAAAUAAAGGCAUGUGCAUACUGCGGGUCAUAGAAACUCCCAUUAUAUAUGUGUACGUAAGCAUUGUAUGAUAAUAAUAUUUUUUAAUUUUUUUAUCAGGAGAUACAAUUAUUUGAAAGCUAACAAAUUUUAUUAUAAACUUAAUUAUAAAAUAAGGUAAAGAGAUAGGUUAGAAAUACAUAUAUAAUUAUGAGAAUUAUUAUCUAAAAUGACGUCGUUAUAUACAAUUGAUUUAAAAUCAUACAACAACUUGAGAUAUUUCUCACUCUCUUAUUCACAUAAAAUAAUAGUACUAUUUAUAUUCCAACUCAUUCUAACUUCAUUUUAGCUAACUUGACAAUCUUUGCUGACAACCGUAAUAAACUUUUAACAAUUUAAUAAUGCAUUUAUUUUAAAAUUAAGGAUAUAUUAUUAGACGAUAAUUUUAAGUUUUUUUUUAUAAAUAUAUUCAUAACAUUUGUUAGAAUUAUGAUAGUAUUUUUAUACGAAUUAUCUAUAAAUUAAUGAUUUUACACUAUACAAUAAGUUGAUAACUUUAUAUCUUUAGAGAAAAAUCAAAAUUUUGAUUGUACUAACAAAUAUGUAAAAUUAUCAUUAUGAUACGAUCGAUCAUUUAUUGUUAAAAUAAUUAAAAUUUCUUAUUUUUUUCUUAAAAUACAUAAUUGAAAAAUUCAAUUAAAUAAUAUAAAAUUAUUAAUUUAUCCACACCGUCCUUAUAAAUUUUAUUCCUCUAAUAUCUAAUCUACUUAAAAUAUAAAUAAUAUCAUGUAAUCUUUCAUCAGUUUAUGUAACGGCAGAAUAUUUUCAAGGAAUGAUGAAUGAAAAGUUAUUUGCAUACAACAAUUAUUAUAGGUAUUAAUGUUAUGGGAUACUCCCUCCCUCGUUUUAGAGUUGUGCACAUGAAAUAAAAAAAUAAUUAAAUAAUAUAUCAAAUUAUCAAUUGUCUAUAAUAAAAAAUAAUUUUAAAAAUAUUAUGAUUAAUUUUUCUAAAUUAUAUAAAAUGACAAAUAAAAUUAUCUUAAACAUCAUAUAUCAUACGAGACAUGAGACAAUAUAACAAUGUCUUGAAAUAUGUAUUUCUUCACCUCAAACAUACAUAUUUGGUGCCAUGACCACAUUAAAUACAUCAUGAAUAUCACGAUCGUAACAACUUUAACACUAUAUAUCUGGAUUACUUACAAGAAUUUGGAACUUAAUUACUCCCUCCAUCCAAAUUUAUUUGUCCUAAUUUCUUUUUUUAAUUGUUCAAAUUUAUUUGUCAUUUUUAAAUACUAUUUUUAACAUUAUUUUUUCAAAAUUACCCUCAUCUAACUUGAAAAAAAAUCAUUAAAAAUAACAUGACAUACAUUGAAAAAUAUAAUACUAUUAAUUUUGAUGUUGAAAACAAAGUCAUAUUACUUUUUUCCCUUUCUCUCUCUCUCUUUUUUAUUUUAUUGUUUCAAGAAAGAGUUAGAAUAUUAAAUAAAAAUAACAUACUAGUAGUAGUUAAAAUGGGUAAUUUAUAGAUAAAAACUUUUUUCUUAAUUAAUAGACGGAUACUUUCAAAUUAUGACAAGUAAACUUGAACAGAGAGAGAGUAUAAGUUGUGAAUUUGAAAAAAAAAACUGUUGAAUCUUGUUGACAUGCAUGUUAUUUAAUUCAUUUUUAGUACUAAAAAGUUACCAUUUUUAAUUAGUUUUAAUGAUACAAAAUGAUUCAUUUUUUAAAACUAAAAUUCUUAUAUGGUAAUAUUCCAUAAUAUCGAUUUAUUGCAAAAUAAAGAAUGAGAUGAGAAGAUACCCACUAAGUUUGUAAUUUAAGAAUUACUAUAAGAGAAUAAUAUUAUCCACAAUCAUUUCCCCAAAGAGGUUGAUUUCCAUAUUAAAUUGCAUUUUUUUUCCAUAAUUUCGAACUAUUAUCCGUAUACAGAAUAUAUAUCAAUAUAUUUAUAAGUCAGAAUCCCGUGAGGGUUCUCAUUCUAUCUAUCUAUCACAUAUUCACAUCUCCACUUGUUGUAAAGGAAACCAAUGGAAAUUGAUAUGGGAAAAGAGCAAAUUAGCCAGAGUCAGCCAAGCCCACCCCAAAGAGGUUUCAACACAGCCCAACUUAUUCUUAGAAUUUUGGUCACUUCAUCCACUGUAGCUGCAAUCAUUUUAGCAGUCACCAGUGCCCAAACACUAGUUUUGGGCUUUGGGUUUAGUUUCCAAGCCCACUACUCUUACUCUUCCGCUUUCAGGUUAGUUUGAAUUCAGGACACUCAAUUUCAAUACCAAAACCAAGACUUGGCCAAACAUAGUUAGUUUGAAUAUAUAGAAGAAGAAAACAAGAUAAACAUGCAUUGUUUUGCAGGUUCAAAGUAGUAGCAGAUGCAGUUGUGGGUACUUUCUCUCUCCUGUCACUCGUCUUUGUUUACGCGUUUACACGUUCAAAAUGGAACACCAAUUACUAUUUCUACAUUUUCCUGCAUGAUCUGGUAAGCAAAUUAUGUAUAUCUCUGAUCAUUUGCAAACUUUAGUUUUCUUUCUUUGUUGUUGUUGAUAUUUUAUACUCCCUCUUUUACAUCUUUUUAUUGGCAAAUAUAGUAUGAAAUGGCACUAUAUAUAUAUAUAUAUAUAUAUAUAUAUAUAUAUAUAUAUAUAUAUAUAUAUAUCCUCAAGUUGCCAUGCAUUAUAAUUCUAUCAUUACUGAUAACUUAAUUUUUGAAUGAAAUUGAUUCUUGUGACAGGUUUUGCUGCUGUUGAUUAUUUCCGGAUGUACAGCAGGAACCACAGUCGGAUUUGUGGCUCGUUACGGGGAGGAAAAGAUAGGUUGGCCGGCAAUUUGUAACCAUGUCGCAAAAUUCUGCCACAAAAUAACUCUGGCAGUUGUAUGCUCAUACUUGGCUCUCGUUUGCUUGUUGAUUCUCACAAUCAUGUCUGUCUCUAAACUUAAGUCUUAGGGCCACAGAGAAGAAACUGGCAUACAACACUAGGAAGGAUUCCAGGAAGAAAUGCUACAAUAAAUAAAAUUACCAGCAGGCCAAAAGAUGUUUUUCACAGUUUUAUGUAGUGCUAAAUAUUUCACAGUUUGUAAAGUUCUUCUAUCAAUGAACAAUUCUCCUAUAUAUUUAUUAGCAUGUUCUAUUUACAACUUUACAGUAUGAUGAAUUGAUGAUUAUACUUUGAACUCAUAAUAUUAAUAGUGUUUAGAUAUUGGAGGUAAUACACAAAGCAAAUUACAAAAUACUUGCCAUCUUUUAGCAAUGUGUAUAUAUAUAUAUGACUAAUAUAAGAAUGCACAAAUUACAAUCACCUGAGGACAGCACCAGGUGAGCAAUUCAUAUGGGAGAUAUAAAACAUGUACUAUUUUGCUUGAAAAGCAAGGAGUAAAAGGGAAAACAGAUCAAGUAUCAGUUAGUUUCCAUCUCGUCUUCACUAUCGAUAAGGUGCUCCUUAAGGGUUUGAUCCGGCAUUUUCCAUUUUUCACUGUCCCAUGCUGAACUUGUUUCUGGCAAUUCGAAAUCUUCUAGUUUUAGUGAUAACUCAAAUUCAGGAAGAUCAGGCAAGCUUUGUAGUCCCCUGCAUCAUAUUGGAGUGAAAAAUUUUGUCGCCUUAAAUUACAUUUAUCUCUUAAGAAAUGUGUGUUAGUAAGGUUUUGAAAUGAGCUCAGAUUACUGAAAAGAAAAAAUUGAAACUUCAUUGCCCCUACUUCUCUUUGUCUAAGAGGUAGCCAUACAUCUGAGACUUCCUAGAUGCAGUCCCAGGAAUAUUCUUAUUUAAAUGCUUCAUUGCACCCCAAAGUGGAGGAGCCCUUCAUAGAAAAAUAAAAAUAAAAAUCACCGGAAUAAUAAUAGAGAAUGUUCUUAAUGACAUAAAAGUAGAAAGAAAUGAUUUACUGAACGCAGAAUCAUAUCCGACCUGGUCACAGGAGCUGCAAGGCAAAAGCUUAAACAGGCCUUCUUGCUCUCAGCAAGAAGUUCUUCUGCAGCAAGGAAGCAACAUGCAGAAGUAAUGUGGCAGGAUGGUUCAUUACCCUUAUCGAGGAUCAGGCCGUUAUAGUAGUAAGCUGCCGCCUGAAAAUGGUACACAAAUAUUAGUAUCAUUUGAACAAAAUAAUUGAAGUAGAGAAGUUUUAGAGCUUGUAUGAGUCAGAGAGCGAUGCACCUUUGCUUCAAGGUAUUUCCAUUUGAUGAACAAAGUAUGCUUCUUUGCAUAUCCGUGAUUAUUGUUACAUGUUGACAAGCAGUAAUGAGCCUGAUGAAACAACGGAUCACAUUAGAUCAAUUAUGAGAGAAAUUUGAAUGAUUUAUUUGGUAAACUUUCCCAAGAAAAAUAUAAGCCUAUUUGGACAUAAACAAGUAUGGAUAAUUUCUUUCAACUCCACUGCGAUAGCUUUCACAAAAAUGCUUGGAUCUUUAUAAACUGUGAUAUGUUUCUAAUCACUAGCGCAUUUUCCCAGUGUAUACUCCCAACUAGGAAAGUGUAGGUGGUUCAUCGUCGGUAAAUAGUGUUAAUCCCUCUUUUCACACUCCACAUGAAGAACUUGCCUGGUACAAGCUGUAAACAAUCUUAAAUUCUUAAUAAACCUUAAAUUUCUGUACGAAUUUCCCAUCAAAUUAACCAGUUAUGUUCUUUAUUUGGUGGAUUCUGAAAAUGAUACACAACAUUAGAUUGAAGAAAUCCAGAAGAAGGAUAGACAUGGCAUUAUAAUAAAACUGAGUAAUAGCUUAGUUGCAACACAUACCUGUCCCAAAUAGCUUAGUUGUUCACAUGCCAACCUCCUUUUAACAGAUAAAGUGGCAUUUUUACUUUCAAUAGCUAAACCAAGCUGCAUUUCAGUUCCCUGAAGAUGUCAUUCAGCAAACAGUCAACAUUUGUUAAGAUGCUUUAUUCUAAAACUAGAAGCACUAACUUAAUCAUUCAGCCAGAGGAAGGGGUAUAGAUUUGUCUACUUGUGCUAGUGCUUGAAUAGAAAUAGCCUCCAAUACACCCUCAUGUAAAUCUUUUGGCAACCUGCUUCUGAUCAUAUAAUUAAGGAUUACUUUGUAUACAGUGACUAAUAAGACAGUGGGGUAAAUGUUAAAAAAAUUAAACAAACCAACCAAAUGUUCUGGAAAAUAUGUUUGCAUACUUAAUAUCUGGUGGUAAGCGAAUGAGCACAUCGCGAAUUAAGAAUUCUAUGCACCCUGCUGCCUUCAGCAAUAAAUCGACAGCAGUGCUCAUGCUAUCUGGUGGUAUAUACACAUAAUUGGUGAUCAGACAGGAUUUUUAACAUCUAAUUGAAUAAGGUUCCAUAAAAUGAUAAAUAGAUAGAAAAAUCGACCUGAUGAAACCACCCUUUCACAAGAAGCUGUACUAUGAUCCUUUGAAAUUAGCAUCGAGUUAGCCUGAUUCAGUGUCAAUAUAGACAUCAUGUGGACAACAGAGAGUAAUUCAAACCAGGAGUUUGCGACACAUACGUCCUCCUGCGCAUCAUCAAAUUAUGUAUGUAAACACUCGAAUCAGUUUAUACUCAUGAAAAGUAACAAAAAUAAAAUAAAAUGGAGCAGUUUAUGAAAUCCUUACUUGUCGUCCAUCUUCUAUAUUCUUCCAUUUGAAUUCAACCUGUUCUAUGAGACCAUUUUCUGUUGAUCACAAAAGUUAUACACUUUACAUACGUAUAUGUUCACAAAUGUCUAUACAAGAGAGACUGAAAAAAAAAAGAGUGAAACCUUUCUUAGUGAGACCAACAAUGAGAGACAAAUACUCCUCAAGUGCAUGUUGUAAUUCGGGUAUAGCUGAUCCACCUGCAAGAUUUUCAUCAAAUUUCUUUCCUCGGCCUAACACCCAAAANNNNNNNNNNNNNNNNNNNNNNNNNNNNNNNNNNNNNNNNNNNNNNNNNNNNNNNNNNNNNNNNNNNNNNNNNNNNNNNNNNNNNNNNNNNNNNNNNNNNNNNNNNNNNNNNNNNNNNNNNNNNNNNNNNNNNNNNNNNNNNNNNNNNNNNNNNNNNNNNNNNNNNNNNNNNNNNNNNNNNNNNNNNNNNNNNNNNNNNNNNNNNNNNNNNNNNNNNNNNNNNNNNNNNNNNNNNNNNNNNNNNNNNNNNNNNNNNNNNNNNNNNNNNNNNNNNNNNNNNNNNNNNNNNNNNNNNNNNNNNNNNNNNNNNNNNNNNNNNNNNNNNNNNNNNNNNNNNNNNNNNNNNNNNNNNNNNNNNNNNNNNNNNNNNNNNNNNNNNNNNNNNNNNNNNNNNNNNNNNNNNNNNNNNNNNNNNNNNNNNNNNNNNNNNNNNNNNNNNNNNNGGGGGGGAUGAAUUUUUAGUUAUUGGUUUGCAAGAGCAUACCAGUAUCCUCUGCCACAAAAAUGAUAUGAUUACGAAGAGAAGUUAUUCUAUCCACAAGAUCUUUAGGAAUUAGGCCUCUCAGCAUCUUGUGAAGAUCAUGGGAUUGAACAGGAACACGCAAUGGAGGGACAAAGAUGGUAACUUGAGGAAUGUUCUUCUUUUUCUUCCUUCCAAUUGUGUAUAUAGAUGAUGUGCAUCCCAUUGUUCUUGAAUGGAAUUUUCCUUUUACAAAUAUAACAUUUUACAUAUACAAAUACAAUGAUCACGAGUAGUUCUACAGUAGCGUACAAGAAGCCAAAAUGCGAAAUUUAUAAGAAAUAUAAGUACUGCCUUCCAAGUGCUUAUAUUUAACCAAUGCAUAAUUGCACUAAUUCAUACAAAACAGUGAAAGAAAAAGAGGAACAAUUGGUUACAACAUGAUGGGAAACCUGAUAGCACAAUAUGGGCAUCAAUCAAAGCUAGUAAGUUGGGAUAUAAGCAAAAGAAACUAAUAUUAUAGUAUUGUUUUGCAUGUGUAUGUAGCUGUAUAACAUAUAUGUGUAUAGAAUGAGUAGAUUAAAUGUGGGAACACUUGCUGGUUUCUGACGGAUGAGAGAGUGAUGAAGCUUCCAAGCUGCAUUGGAUAUGUUAAUAUCUCCAUCAAAUUAACUUAAAAGAAGGUGAGGCUCGAGAACCAAGGACAACUUUCACAUGGCGACAGUACUUAGUUGUAUAGAGUAGUACAUUGUGUCAGCGACGAUGAAGGGAAUGCUUGGAAAUUUUAGUGGGAAACUAACAUUUGUUUAAUUUUCAUUUCCCUAUUGCUGUAUUGCAGGUAAAGUAAACUAGUUGCAUCUAUCAGGUUAGUUGGUUAAUUUGCUCGACUGCUGAUAAUGCCAAAAUAUUUUUCGAUAUUGAUUAGUAAGUGUCAUCGAACAUGUCGCUAAAUACAUAUUUGUUAUGAGAUGAUCAAUAAAUUGGUAUGUGUCAAUCUUUAAAACUAUCAAUACCAAUAAGUAUAUGUGACCCGCGGACAAACAAAUAGAUUAUAUUGUUUAUUUGUUCGCAAGAACAAAUUCAUUUUGUUCUUCGGGUCUAAUUUUCCUGUCUGCUAAAACUAUUGUAGUAAGUUGUUACAUAUAGUUCAUGUGCUUGCAAGGCCGUGUGAUGUGACGGACGAUUGGUCAGACCAAUUGACGAGUGACAACUGUAGCUACCCACCUAUCACCUAUGAUAUAUAGCAUGGAAAUCCCAACCUGCCCAUAUAAUAAGUUUAACUUUUUAAGAUUUGCACUCCUCGAUCAGCUCUGAGGAUCAAAAUCUUCAAUCCUUCAGCAACACUACUCAUUAUACACUUUAUUUUUGAGGUGCACUAACUUCAUACUACGACGUAUAUUUUCAUGUUGUGUGCGUGUAUCAAGUUUGACUACAAGUCAGGAGGAUUAAGGUUCAAUGAUAUGGCUCGAAUGUUAGGUUUCCACGAUAAAAUUAACGCAUUCCGUUCAGAAAUGAGAGUUCGUUUGACCUUGUAAUACGACAUUUAGUCAUGAUUUUUCUGACUCUAUUUUUUUCAUCAUUAACUUUGAGACUAAUACUCUGUUUCUGAGUUUUAAAAUGAACACAAAAGAAAAGAAAUGGACGGAAAAUUUAAAUUUUCUUUCCAAUUCUUAUUGUUGGGUCAUGAUAUUUUACAUAGUGGGCCGGACUGGUUGGGCCUACUUAUUUGGUUAUUCUCUUGGGUCAUUAUUAUUGGGCCUUGUUAUAGACUAAUUCAUUGGAUUAUCUUGAUUGGGUCUUACAAAGUUUUGGACUGAAUUAUUGAACCGAUCCAUCAGAUAUUUAAAUAUCUACAUCUUUGACCGGUGAUGAUGACAAAGAUAUGACUGGCUAAUAUCUUACAUCGCAUUAAUGAGGAUUGGACAGUUGGUCAGCGGUGGACAGAGGGGAUGGGAUUAACAGGAAAGCUACCUGCAGUAGGUAGGGUCAGGAGGGUCAGUGGCACAAGAAACCGAGUCUUGUAUUAUAUCAUAGCAAGGAAAUCUCCAAAAAAAGGUACGCAUACACACAACACACAUUUUUCUUAUCUCUCUAACACUAGACAUUUUUAUCCUCCAUUGUUAACCCUUGUAACGGCUUGUACUGACUCUCACGCCUGAGCUAUCCCCCGACGGUCCAGCCGUCAAGCUUUUGGUGUUGACUGUGUUUACUGUGCAGGAUCGGGGCGUCUUACGUGAUUGGGACGUGGCAGAAGAUCUUGGCGUUAACAUUGGCGCUAGAAGGAGGGCUGUGUUCUAGUGUCCUUGAGUUUUCAAUCACAAAGUUUCAUUUGUUCUACGUCGGAAAGAAUGGUGAGGAGUAGAACUAGUAUACCGGAGGGACAACCGAUGGCUGUAAAUUCAUCAUUGCCUCGUGUUUCAGUUAAGGAUCGUCUGGGUCCUUUCAAAAGUGCUCUUGAGAGUACGGCUUCCAAGCGUGAUUCAGGGGGUUCUCGUUCGAGAGCCCGUGGUGAAGCCCGAAGGAGGUUGGUCUUUGCGGCUGACAAGGAACGUGAUCAUGGCUGAAGGUAAGUAGAAGGCACCCCACCUAGAACUCGGCACCGAAGUGAUCAGGACGACAAGGCUGCAAAGCUGGCGAAGAUGGCGGACGAAGCAGAUAAAGCUUUGGAGGUUCUCUUGAAGCAGAACGAAGAUAUAGCUGAACAUGUGCUUCAGAUUGCCGAGCUGAAGGACGAGGCGUCCAAAUUAUGAGCAGGUCCUUCGGAUGACGGAGUUGGUGCAGAUCAUUCGGUUGACAGAGCUGGAGCAGGUCCUUCGGAUGGCCGAGUUGGUGCAGGUCCUUCGGUUGGCAGAGUUGGUGCGGAUCCUUCGGUUGGCAAAGCUGAAGUAGGUCCUUCGGAUGGCAAAGUUAGUGUAGAUCCUUCGGUUGGCAGAAUUGGAGCAGGUCCUUCGGGUGGCAUAGCUGGGGCAGAUCCUUCGGUUGACGGAGUUGGUGCAGAUCCUUCGGUUGGCAGAAUUGGAGCAGGUCCUUCGGGUGGCAUAGCUAGGGCAGAUCCUUCGGAUGACAGAGUUGGUGCAGAUCCUUCGGUUGGCAGGGUUGGUGCAGAUCCUUCGGUUGGCAAAAGUUGGUGCAGAUCCUUCGGAUGACAGAGCUGGAACAGAUGCUUCGGAUGGCAGAGCUGAAGGACGAGGCGUCCAAUUAUGUCCAGUCUGAAAGACGUGGUAAAGCAGUCUAUACACUUUGAAGACAUGUCUCAAGAUGAUCCUCAUGGCCGAAGAAGACCAAGGAACCAUACUCCUGAGCAUCCGAAGAGGGUACCUCACUAUAUCGGUUCUCGGGAUUAUGGUCGCAGCAGGCGAAUAAGUUGAUCCAGAGAGUAUACACCUUAGAAUACAAAUAAGGCAUUCUGCCUCGAGUAUUCUCACCACAGUGACAAAAAUCUCCACCGAAAUAGAUCCAAAAAUCACACUCCCGGGAAUCCACUGAGGGCACAUCGCCCUGUGGGUACUUGUCUUCGGAGAAAUCCAUCUAAAGCUGCAAAAGAUCGGACCGUUCAGAAGAAGCUUUGAGGAGGUUUAUGUCCCAAUUAGCAGAAGCAGAGCUCAUGGAUGUUGUGUGUAGACAAAUAUUCUACUUCGAAUAAUCAGUGCGGCAGGCUGUCAAGUUCAGAUUCAGCACAAAAGAUUCACUUUUUCACAACUGAUCUUCUUCCUAUUUGUCCUAAGUUCAUAAUGGUGUAAGAAGGUAUGGUCGGACUCGCUGACCAUUCGAUGGCAGCCUAUUUAUUUGUUACCCCGUGUGGUAGACAAAUCCUAUGGUCCUUUUAAUAUUGUUUUUACCAAGGGUGGUAAAUCAAUGGGCACCGAAGUAAGGAAGAUGGGUUGGACUCGCUGACCAUUCAAUCUAUCAACAAUGACCCAAAUCGCAUCUAUACCUUGAGAAACCUUAAGAAGACCGAUAACGAAAUCCAUGGUAAUGUGCUCCCACUUCCAUUCUGGAAUUUCAAGUGGUUGCAAUGGACCUUUUGGUACUUGAUGCUCCGCUUUAACUCGUUGACAAGUUAGACACCUUGAGAUAAACAAUGCUAUCUCUCUCUUCAUAUUGCUCCACCAAAAUGUAUGACGAAUAUCAUGAUAAAUUUUGGUACUCCCAGGAUGGAUUGCAAACGGUGUGUUGUGCGCCUCCAUCAUGAUUUUAUACUUUAAAUCAGGGUCGUUAGGAACACAAAAUCUGGAGUUGACUCGAAAUAUUCCUUCUUCAUCGAUUUUUGCUUCCGGCAUAGCACCUUCUUGCACAUUCUUCCUCAUACGCAUCAGCUCCAGGUCUGUAGCUUGAGCAGCUUUAACUUUAUCGAUUAAAGUCGGUUCUACUCGUAUAUUCGCCAUCAUCACGUGGGUCCCUGGAGUCUUUAUCUCUAUCUCCAUCCUUUGCAAGUCAUACAAAAUGGGCCUUUGCGUUGACAAUAUCGCACUCGUACCCGCAUAUGAUCUUCUACUCAAUGCGUCAGCUACCACGUUCGCUUUUCCAGGAUGGUAUUGGAUGGUAUGAUCAUAAUCUUUCAACAGUUCAAGCCAACGUCGUUGUCGCAUGUUGAGUUCCUUUUGAGUGAAGAAAUAUUUGAGGCUUUUAUGAUCCGUAAAGAUCUCCACUUUCUCCCCAUACAAGUAAUGCCUCCAAAUCUUUAGUGCGAAGACAACAGCUGCCAACUCUAGAUCAUGAGUAGGAUAAUUCCUCUCAUAUUCUUUGAGUUGUCGUGAGGCAUAGGCUAUGACUUUCCCAUGUUGCAUGAGAACACAUCCUAACCCUUUGCCCGAAGCAUCACUGUAGAUGACAAAUCCCUCCGAGCCAGAUGGUAUUGUCAGAACAGGUGCUGAAAUGAGUCUCCUCUUGAGUUCUUGAAAACUCUUCUCACAUUCCUCGCUCCAACCGAAUUUUGUAUCUUUCCGAGUCAGCUGAGUUAAUGGAGUAGCGAUUCGAGAAAACCCUUCUACGAAUCUCCGAUAAUAACCAGCUAAGCCGAGAAAGCUACGUACUUCGGUCACUGAUUUAGGUUGCUCCCAGCUUUGAAUAGCUUCAAUCUUUGCUGGGUCAACAGAUAUUCCAUGACUUGAUACCACGUGCCCAAGGAAUGCUACUUCCUCAAGCCAGAACUCGCAUUUCUUCAACUUGGCAUAAAGCUUGUAUUCACGAAGCUUUUGGAGUGUCAGCCUCAAGUGUUGCUCAUGAUCUUCACGGCUUUUGGAAUAAAUAAGGAUGUCAUCAAUAAAGACGACCACAAAGUGAUCCAAAUAUUCCUUGAAUACUCGGUUCAUCAUAUCCAUGAAGGCAGCAGGAGCAUUAGUCAAUCCAAAGGACAUGACUAGGAAUUCAUAAUGCCCGUACCGAGUUCUGAAAGCCGUCUUUGGAAUGUCAUCGGUUCUAAUCUUCAAUUGGUGAUAUCCGGAACGAAGAUCAAUCUUUGAAAAGAAUUUGGCUCCUUGCAACUGGUCAAACAGGUCAUCAAUACGUGGCAAUGGGUACCUAUUUUUGAUGGUGACAUGAUUCAACUCCCGAUAAUCAAUACAAAGUCGCAUACUCCCAUCUUUCUUCUUCACGAAUAGAACAGGAGCACCCCAAGGAGAAGUACUAGGACGAAUAAAGCCAAUGUCUAACAAUUCCUGCAGUUGGGUCUUUAACUCCUGAAGUUCAAUAGGAGCCAUUCGAUAUGGGGCUUUGGAAAUGGGUUUUGUACCGGGUUCAAGGUCGAUACAAAAUUCAAUUUCACGCUCAGGGGGUAGGCCAGGAAGUUCUUCGGGGAAUACGUCAGGAAAUUUAUUAACAAUAGAAAUAUCGUUCAAAACUGACGUAUUUUUGUUUAAAUCUGUGACAUGAGCUAAGAAAGCUUGACAUCCGUUUUUCAAUAAACGAAUAGCUUUAUGGCUUGAGAUGACCGUGAUUGAUUUUAAUGGUUUGGUCGCUUGAAUUCGCAUAAUAGGUUGAUUAGGAAUAUGAAAGCUAACAACCUUACGAAAAUAAUUAAUUUUUGCAUGAUGAGUAGUUCAUCAAUCAAUCCCUAGAAUCACGUCAAAUGCAAGUAUUUUUAAUGAAAUAAGAUCGACAGGUAAUAUGAGGGUACCUAUUUGAGCCAAACAAGACUUAUAAACAGUGGAUAUAAUGAAGGUUUCUCCCAACGGAGUUUCCACAGAUAAGUCAGAGUCUAAUUUCUCCGGAGUUAAAUUUAAUCGAUGAGCGCAAGUAGGAGAAAUAAAAGAAUGAGUAGAACCGGUAUCAAAUAAAGUAUAGACUUCGUUAGAGUUUAUGAUAAGCUUACCCGUGAUGACCUCAUUCGGGUUCCUUACUUUCUGGGAGGUCACAAUAAACGCUCUCCCUUGGACUACCGGCUUUGGCCUUUCUGGGACAGCCUUUGGUGCCUCCAUCCUAGCUGAAUUUGUCUUCGGUGAACGACAAAAUCGGGCUAAGUGACAUUCUCUUCCACACUUAUAACAUGCUUUGGACGGCAUCGCGCAAUUUGGACUGAUGUGUCCCUCCCCUCUGCAUUUGAAGCAUAUGAUAGGUGGUCUUUCUCCUUCCUUAACAACGGGUGCUGGUGCUGACGUCUUCCCAUCAUUGUUGAAUCUCCUCUUCUUGAAAUGUCCAUUCUUAUUAUUUUGGCCCUGAUUACCACUGAAGUGGUUACCAUUUCUGGCCUGUUGAUUCCCUCCACGUUUGUUGUCACCGCUUCGAUGACUACUCUAGCUGGUAUUAUAAUUUUACCGGCUGUUCUCUUUUAGUUGUGUUGACUCGUUAUCGCGCUCCACUAACUGAGCCCUAUUUACAACAUCUGAAUACAAACACAGUUUAUGAGAAAUAAGAUGUUGACGUAUCUCCGGCUUCAAACCUCUUAAAAACAUUCGCGCCAUUCUCUCUUCAUUAUCCACCAAGUGGGACGCAAAUCAUGAUAACUCCGCAAAUUUUGUUGAGUACGUUUUACCGAUUCCCACCAGUAAUCUGCCUCUCCGCGCAACAUAAAGGCGGCAAAGGGAACCUUUUGCUCCUCGGAGCAUCCCAAGACAUCAAAUAUCUUGGUGAUCUGUUUUAUCCAUGCUUCCGCCAUAAGUGGUUUUGGCUCUCCCUUAAACUCCGGUGGUCCCAACUCCUUGAACUGUUUAGCGGUGACCGCCCGAGAGUUUCCCGUGUUUCCACCUACGUUUUGGACAGUAGCCGAUCUCGCCUGCUGUUGCAUGAAUUACAUAAAGCCUCUGAACAUUUGAUCAUUCAUCAUUUGGUAAGUGUUGUUGUUUGCAUGAGGAUUGUCGCCUUCUUGAUGCACAUUAUCCUGAUUAUUGAUAUGUGGUGAAUCAACGGUCGUCUGUGCUCCAUUGCUAUUCUCAACAUUCUCAGAUGUCAUUUUCAGAUACUGCCACAAAACAAAAGGUUAAUUGACAUGUAACAUAUUAUCCCUAUAUUCUGACCGACCAAUAAAAUAGCACAUAAACUUAGGUAGGUCAUACUAGCGAAGGAAUUCCCCGUCUCUCCCCUCCUAGUACUAUUCUCACAUCUUAGCCAGGGAUCAUAUCCCUAAGCUUUGAUACCAACUGUGACGCCCCCAAAAUUAGGUAUACAUCACCCAUCUUGGGUCGCCAGAUACAUGGUACAGAAUUCAAAUACAACUUACUAAUACAACUGUCGUGUACAAUACGACAAAACAUAAACUGUGAGUUUGAAUACAAAUAUUGUCUACUAGAGAUUAUACAAACUCAAAAGGAGUCCUCAUUACAAUUAUUAUCACACUAUUUCACAGAAUAGUGAGGACUACUAAUGCUAUCCUCUGGACCAUCACUCCGUUCCCCGACUCGUCCCAGCUAUAUUCUCAUUUCCUGAAGAGAACAGUGAAAGAAAGGGUGAGCUCAACUAGCCCAGUAAGAAAUAUUAUGACUAAGAUAAUGCAGAAUAAAUUAUCAUUAGCCUUCAACAGUGUUAAACUGAUAAAAUAUAAUAAACAUCAAGUUUAACUGCAGCGGAACCAGCAAUCCAUUAAAAGAGUCAAGUAGAAAAUAAAAUCUACUAUCUUUUAUGAUUUAAAAGGUUUUUCAUCACUGUUAUCGCUGAGACUCAGCUUAAUAAAUAUUCCACAUCAUCGAAUCACCCCUGCACUACGGCCAAGGAUAUUCUUUAGUAUCACGACCACAAUUAUCCAUGCACUACGGGCCAAGAAUAUUUGUGUAUUCAUUAAUGGUCAUGAUCAUGCCAACAACUGUCCAUCAAUGCACUACGGGCCAAUGAGGACUUUUACCACAUCAUUUGUAACAUUACGGUCAUGAUUACACCGAAUAAUCCCUGGUCAUAAUCAUACCAAGUCCAUCUAUGCACUACAGGCCACAGAUGACUUUCAACAAAAUAUAAACAUGAGGAUGAUGACAAUGAUAUAAGAAUUCAAUAAAACAAGUUCAAGAAUUAUUUUAUCCAGGAACUAAUAACGUCCAAAUUGUCAACAUGAUACUGCUUUGUAGAGUAAAAUUCAAGAAUGCUCAGAAGAAUAUUUCCAUGAAAAGAUACUGGAUGAAGCGCAAAUAUCAAGGAUAUUCCACUAAUUUCAUGGAGUAUAGAAGUCAAAACUUUAACCAACUGAGUAUAAUAAAGAAUGGAAUAACAAAAGAAAUCACCAUGCAUGCGGUACUUCGCAUAGACAGGUUAUUCCAACAGAAUAAUAAUAACGGAACCAGGUCAGGCAAAAUUUGCACCGACAGGAUGUUCCAACAGAAUAAUAAAGACGGAACCAGGUCCGGUGUAAAACACACAGACAGGAUGUUCCAACAGAAUAAUAAUAAAGACGGAACCAGGUCCGGUGUAAAACACACAGACAGGAUGUUCCAACAGAAUAAUAGAAGAAUGUCACCAAGUAUAGGGUAAACCGCGUAUACAGGUUAUUCCAACAGAAUAAUAAGCAAUGGAAUAACAACAGUUCUCUUCAUGAAUAAGAAAGAAUAACACCCCUUACAUUAGUAGGAGAUUGAAUACUGCAGUAGUGUAGUAACAGAAUACUCUUCUUCUUUCUCUCUUAUUCUCUCUAUACUUUCUCUCUCU
rnacentral:lncRNA from 1 species